rnacentral:lncRNA from 1 species
CACAACACUUGCUUGAAGCAGGACUUCCAACAAUAACAUUAACAAGUCCUAAAACAUCAGCACAAACACCUAGCUUUAAUGUGUCACUAGGACAUUUUUGUGAUGUUGAAGGAGUAGGAGGUGUUGUUGAAGGUGUUGGAGGACAUGGUGUUGAUGAAGGUGGUGGAGGACUAGGCUUUGGCUUUGGCUUAGGCUUAGGUGAUGGAGUUGGUUUGCAUGAACCACAAGCAUGUGAAAAUGUUGAAUAAGCAAGGAGAGAAAACAAUAUAAUUAGGGCACUAAGCUUGUUGGAAGCCAUUGUUAAGAAAUGUACGCUAAUGCUUUUGUGUGUUUUGAUGUUGAAUCAUAGGAUGUGAAAGAAAGAGGAGAAUUGGACCAUUUUUAUAGACAAAAAAUUGUGAGGUUCAGUCAUAUGAAAAUCUGAUUGAGUGGAAGAGAGUGUGAUAUUGAUAACGUUCCAGUUGGUCUUUUUUGUAAUCUUGUGAAAUAAGGUUUCAUAUCUUUGUGGUUGUUGGAAACUAGGAAAUUCUACUAUCUAUGGUUAGUUGUAACUAUAAGCAGUAGAAUUUCCCUGGUUUUCAAUUGCUGUCUAAAGUAGAUAUUUUUUAUCCUAGUUUAUUAAGUGGCUUUCAAAUAUUCAUAUCGUUUUAAGCGGUUUUAAGACUAGUUUUUCUUAAAGAAGUUAAACUAAUUCAUUCAAAUUAAAAUCGAGAAAAAUCAAAUAUGGGACAUUAAAGACUAGUUAAAUAUGACAUUAUAGAUAAAUUAAUAAAGAUUAGAUAUUAGCUAGUUAAGUUGAUAAAUUAAUAUUAUUUUAAGGUUUUGUCAUUGAAAUGUUAUUAAAAAAAGUCAUUUCGAACAUGCUACAUGAACUUUUGUUAAAAAUAAUGAAUUAAAAUUGGUACUAAAAUAUUUAGAGGACUAAAGUUUGAAAGAAAUUUUUAGAGGAAUCAAAAAUAUACAUAAGAUUUUUUUUAAUUACUUGACAUCUAAAAUGUCAUCAUUAAAAUAUUAUUAAUUAACCGUCUCGUAAAAAGUUUUAUAUUUGUUUUAAUUUGGGGGGAAAAGUGUUAUAAGAAAUUUUGUUUUCCGUAUCCAUAAAAAUGUGGCAUGUUUUCGUCUCUAUUAAAUUUUCUUGUACGGAUAGUCCUUGUUUCUAAGUCAAUGUUAAUUUUUGGAUGAAUUUUUUUUUUCAGACAUGUUUAGAACAUUAUAAAAUUAUUCCAAAAAAUAGAACAAAAAUUUAAAAGUGUAUGAAAAAUUCAUAUUUGAUUGAUCUCAUGUAAAAAAAAUUAUAAAUUUUUGUAAAUAAACUUUUAAUAAUCAUCUAAACUAGUUUCGAAAAAAUUCUACAAAAAUUUAAAUGUGUAUGAAAAAUUAAACAAGUUUGAAAAACAGCAAAGAAUAAAAUUGCUUGCAGAUUUUUUCUUGUAAGGAUGGUAACAUGCCACUUUUUUUUUUAAUGUGAGCUGAAAAAAUAAAAUUUGGUAAUUUGUUAGGGACAAAAAACUUAUAUGUAACCUCUAUAAAUUGUAUUAUUAUUUAAUUUUUUAUAUGCAUUUGCUUACUAUGAUAAUAAAUUAUUGAUUAAAUUGUUAAUAGAUAAAAAUAAGAUCAAAAAUAUCAAUAUUUUAUAAAAUAAUGGGAGAAGGAAGCUUUUAUUAAUUAAACACUAAUAACUAUUUUACAACGUCCACGUGAUCUUAGCUCAAUUGGUAAGAACAUUGCAUAAUUUAUGCAGAGCGUCAAGGUUCAAACCUCGGACACCCCAUUUUUCCAGAUUUAAAUAUGUGAGCUUCAGCCACUACUGAAAAAAAAAAAAAAAAACUAUUUCACAACUGUAAGGAUAUUUAAACUCUCUCCCUUGUGGUUAUCACUAAAGUGACGACACUCAUGAAAAAUCACAUAUUAUAUAAUGAAUUGAAUAUUAUUGAAUAAGACUAUUAUUAUCCUUUGAUUGUUUCUCAUCUAUUUCUUUGUUUUCUUUCCAAUUUGGAAGUAUUGAUUUUAUAGUGAAGAUUUGUUUUAGUCCAUAACAAAAACUUUAAGAUUUUUUUUUUUUUAAAUAGUCUAGAGACUAUAAUUCACUUUAAGAUGAAUAAGUUGAAUGUCUGACGUUUGAACUCCACCAACUGCAUAUUACAAUGAAUUGUUCACCUUUAAGACCUAAUUUAGUCCAUGAAAACUCGACUUUAUUAUUCAAGAAAAAUAAAUCAUGACAAAUUAAUCUCUUUCUCAACGACUUAGUUUUUACCUCUUUAACAUUGUGCUUGAAAGCAUAAAAUCCUAAGUGAAAAUAAAAGAAAACACAGUUUCUCUAAAUCAAUUCCCUCGUUAAAAAGUACACCCACCAUUUUAAAAUGAAUGUCGUUUAAAGUUUUUAUACACAUAUUAAGAAAUUCAUUAAUUAAAAAAUAAAUGUUAUUUUACCAAGUUAUCCUAAUCAAUUGUUGGUUUAUUUUUCAUUAAAAAAAAUAAUACUUUGGAAGUAGUGUAUAGAAUAUUAAUUGAAUGUUACAAUUGAAAAGAAAAAAUUAUUAUUGUAUUGAAAACUGAAAGUCGUAUUCAUUUCAAAACAAUUUUUUUUGCUAAAACGACACUCAUUUUAAAACGGAUGGAGUAUUUGACCAAUGAUGAAUGAAAAAUGAUUGUGAAACUCGCAAUAAAAACUUUUUUUUUAAGCAGCAAAAAUUAUAUUAACACGCCUAAAAGGAUUGUGUGAAAUAUAGAUAAAAUUUGAGAAAUCUAUUACAUUUUUUCAAAGAGUACAUUUUUAGAAAAUGUUGAAUGAUUGUUUAUAAAUAAUUUAUUUUUAAUUUUAAGAAUAUCGUAAAUUGAAUUUGAAAAAUUUAUAUAAAUUAUUCAAAACUCUCUUUUAAUUCAAUUUUUUACUUCCCAAAUUAUGUGGGAUUUUCCAUUAAAAUCUAGAAGCAUUUUAAAGUUAGUUGUAAUCCUCUUUCAACCCCUAUUAUUAUUGAGGUUCGUUGGAGUGCAAUAUAGAUGAGGCAACCAAGGGUCAUAUUGAUUUGGUUUCCUAUGGUGGCAUUUUUUGUGACUAUAAAGGUAAUUUUAUUGGUGGUUUUGCCUUGAAUUUAGAACUUCUGCUCUCAAUGUUGAACUUACUGUUGUUAUGCUUUCUGUUGAGAUUGCUUAUGAUAGAGAUUGGUUUAAUACUUUAAUUUUUGGUUGGAUUGUUGUGACUCCAUGAUCACUGUUACGCCUUUGAUUACUUUUUGCUAGUGUCUUGGAAACUUCAGAUUAAAGUGGUUAAAAUGUUUGAAUCUUAUGAAAAAGUUUCGUUUUAGAGUUUCUCGCAUUUUCAAAGAGGGAAAUAAUUGUGCUGGGUCAAUUAUAUGUUUCAAAGUAAUGAAUUUAUUUGAUUGGACCUUCUCCUUAUUGUAUUAGGGAUGACUUGUUUUGUAAAAGGAUUGAGCUACAUUUCUUUAGAUUUCGUUGAUUGUUACUUGCAUUGCUCUAUUUUGUCCUUCCAAUUAGAUAAUACAUGACUGACCCUAUCACGUAUAUCGAUACAUAAUUUUGAGUUUAAAUAUCUUGAAAAAUAUAUUAAAAAAAAAAUAUGAAAAAUUUGAUAUUUUAAAAAUAUUUGUCAUGACGAAUCCAAUAACAUUUUAUAUUAUAUUAUUUAUCUUUUUAUAUUAGUAAAAAAAUACAGUCAAAAUAUGUUAGGUCAAUAAUCAACAUUGUCAAAUAGAUUAUCUAUUACGUGACGGGGGAGUAUCAUUUUAUCCCUUUGAAAUUUUCUGGCAUUGUUUUAACGAGGUAGAUGUUGUGACUCUAUUAUCUUAGAUAUUGGUCUAAUCUCCACGAAUUGUAUAUCCCAUGCUAUUUUAUUUUCCUCUUUAGUUGCACUAUAAUUUUCGCAUAAAAAAGUUUUUGUUAGUAAUGGCUAUAAUAUUAUGCUCAUAAUGGGAUUCUAAUCCUCGACUUCCUAAUCUAUCAUCCCCUUAACUCUCGUCUCCACCCCAACCAUCAAGCUAACCUUAUAUUCGAUAUAAAAUCUGUUCUGGACCGGUCAGAAGGCCAAUUCCAUUGUGACACGUGGAUUAGGCACCCACCGGACUAUGGCGCGUCGCUUUAGGGAGCACACCAAUAUCGGUGCACGUCACCUCACUAGAGCACGUCUCCGUGCAUUAGAUAUCAUAGACGUGUCUUUUAACUGUCUCCUAAUCAAGCGCUGCUGCAUAUCACGGAGGCAUAUAUUCUUACACACGUCUAUAUAAGGGUGAGUUAGCUUCAUCCUCAAGGUAUGAUUCAUUUUUUCCGCAUUUUUUACACACUCUUCCUCAGUUCCAAUACUGACUUGAGCGUUUCAAUACUAACGUGUCUGCAGACACCUUUCGUUCCUCCGCAAAGACUCGUCGUCACCCUUGCCUACAUCAGUCUCUUCACGGACAGAUCAAAAUCAAAUACAGAUUGACUAGUUCAAAGUUAAGGUUUCUUAAAGAAGAUGAAGAAAAAGUAGUAGAGAAACAAACAAAACUGGAAAAAGCUUGAGAAAUUACGUACAUACAUUUUGACAAGUUGCUGUUUUGGACAAUACAUUUUGACAAGUUGAUCGGGAUAUUUUGCAAGUUGUUUCCAGCCUAUAUACAUUCAAAUUAUAAUUAGAAACUGAGGUAUAGAGUUUGUCUUGUUUCAUGGCCACUACUAGGUUAUUAACAUGAAUUAUUGAAAUCCAUAGGUAAUUUUGUGAGUAACAUAUGCACAGCACACAUGCCUAAAAUUAUUAUGUCGGCAAGGCUCCAAUAGCAGACCGUAGUCAAGGUCAGCAUAUCCUUUAGAAGGUGACAGAUCUUAAGAGUUGAUGUAAAUAUGAUUUGAUUACUAAAAUAAAAUUAAUCAACCACAGAUAAACUUGCAUAAGAUUGGCAGCAUCUCAAUUGAUAAGUUUUGUAAAACCGAAAGAGUAUUAUUUAAUCAAGAGGUUCAGGUUUAAACUUUAUGGACUAACGUAACCCAAUUGUCUACCUAACAAAAAAUUAAACUUGCUUUCCAUCAUUUCUAACCUAACUUACUUUCCUUCAUUUCUAACCUAAGUAAUAAUUUAUAUUUGUCAGGUAAGUAAAACUCAAAUGAUAAAAUGAUUGGAGUGUGGGUUUGAACUUGCAAUACCUUUUCUCGACAUUCUGUGUGAGAAUUUAUCCGCUAAAUCUUUGAAAAUAGAAUAAAAUAUAAUUUAUAUUUAAUUCAUUUCUUUUACUAGUAAAAUAAAAGUAAGAUCGUUUAGGAUAUUAUUUGCUAAUUAAUUUUUUUUGACAAUUUUGUGCUAAUGUUAAAACGGAAGUUUUUCAUCCUCGUGAGCUUAGCUCAGUUGGUAUGGACAAUGCAUAAAAUAUGUAAGGUUCGGGGUUCGAACCCCGACCACAACAAAAAAUAAACGGAAUUUUUCCAAUUACAUAUUAUUACAAAUAUAAGUUAUUUUUUGAAAAAUAUAUAGUGCUUUUUUAGUUAAGAAAAAAUACUACUCAAACAUUAAAAUAACUUGAAACUAUUGUUUUUGUUUUCUAUAAAUGCACUCUCAAGCUCUCUUAUGUUAAAGUGUUAUGCUAACAAGUGACCUAAGAAAUUUACAAAAAGAAUUUUCUAUUGGAAACACAAGUUAGAGUAGUAUCAAAUUAAUAAUUACAUUAUUAUACUAAAAUUAUCUUUUUUUUAGUUGUUUAAAUAAUGUGCUAAGAACAUAUAUUAACAUUUUUCGUCUCCAUUAUUACAACAUAUUGAUUUGGUCGUGAAAACAUUUUAUGUGAAAUACCGACUUCAAACUCGGAUCACAACAUUUCCCCUUUAAAAUAAAGAGAACUGACAAAAGCUUGGUAUCCAAGUGUUUCUCAAGGGACUCUAAAAAUACGUUAGUAUGCAUGUUAAAAUUUCUCUUUCAAUGAAUUCUCUGUAUAUAUUAGGCCAUUUCUGUUUCUAAAAAUAUCAUGUCAUUUAACAAGACAAGAAACUAAUGUUAUAAGCUAAAAGUCAAAGAUAGAAACUUUAAAUUUAAGCGUAAAAUUCAACAUUUGUGUGGUAAAGGAUAAGCUGAUGUGAAAGCAUAUAUCAGAGGUUAAUGAGGUUUCACAAACUCCCCGUAUGAAUGGAUUCAGUUAAAAUGAGUAUAGAUAGUUGACACGAAAACGCUGAUUUGUGUUCUAAAAGCAUUAUUUAAUAACUCUAGUAAAAAAAUUAUGAAACAUUGUAAUAUAUCAAGAUAUGUUUGUACUUUGCAGUUGCGAGGUGAUAAUUUAUUUUGUGUGUUUCAUAAAAUAUCAGAUGAAUAGUCAAUAUUAAAUGAAAGUAAAAACUUUGUAUUUAUUAAUUACUUAUUCUUAUUUAUAAUAAGAAACAGUAAUUAAUAAUUAGCAAUCUUUAAUUUGCUAAUAUUUGGGAAAUGUUAACUUGUGUCCUUAGGGCAUAUGUUAAGGAUUCCAUUAAUAAAAAUUAUGUUUUUGAAAUUGCGUUAAUUUAUUUCUCAAAAAAUUUAAUAUUAAUUUUUUUCAAAUAAUAUUUACCAUUAGUGGCAAGAAUUUAAUGUUUAACAUGGGCACAAGUUAACAUGACUCAUAUUUUACAUGGAUUAAAACUCAUUCCUAGCAUGCCGAAAAUCAUUAAUUUGCUGGAAGCUACUAGUUUUUGGCAUUUAUAUGAAUCACAUUUUUUUACGUUUGUGACAAAUUAGCUGAAAUGAUAUUCUAUAUGUUGCUUAGAAUAAUAAAUUAGUAACAUAGUACUAUUUAAUUUGUAGCGAUUGGAGUUUUUGACAUUGUCGUCAUAUGAUGUUGCUGUGAGAAUCAGUUAAUGAUUAUCAAUUUCACAAUAAUCACUAGAACUGAAACUAUACCGGAUGAUUGAAAACAAGCCAAAUUAGGGCAAUAUAGUAAUGUGUUAGUAAUUAGAAGCCAAUAACUGUUCAACCUCAUGUUAAUUCACAUUUUUAGGGUGAACUUAGUUUGUAUAGAUUAAAAUCACAACACCCACUAAUUUUUAUGGAGUAUUUCAGCAACAUGCUUUUUAGGGCGUGUUCAACAAUUUUUUAAUUAUUACUUGCUAAAAUACUCCUAAAAAAUAAGUUGAUAUAUACCAAAAAAAAAUUACUGAACAUUUAAGAGAUAUUGAAUUUAAGAUAUCUCUUUGUCUAAAGAAGCUGCAAACUUACCUAAAAAAUAAGUUGAUAUAUCCAAAUUCAAUAGCUCUUUGUCUAUAGAAGCUACUAACUUACCUCCACUUAACAUUUAAGAGAUAUUGAAUUUGAAUCUGAUUAAAACAAUUUUUAACCAAAUUUUACUUACCUAUGAGUCAAAUUUUAGAUUAUUGAUGUUCAUUUUCAAAGGUACACCUUCCUUAAAAAAGAAAUCAAAGGAACACCAGGGUUAAGGGGAAAAAAUACACCUUAGCCCCAACCUACAUGUUGGUAAACCCAAAUUAAUUGUAGUAAUAUACUAUAAUAUUUGAAGGGGGACACGAAUUAUAGAGUUUGCUAACAAAACUUGCAAUAAUUUUGAGAUGACGUUUGAUCGAAUUCUUAGUUGAAGUAGGGCUUGGAAGAGGCUCCACCCGUUCACGGAUAUGCAACUAUGUAUGUUCUUUUCUAAAAAAUCAAAUACAUAUAGCCAAAGUUCCAAUUCCUGCUUUUAUUCUAAAUUCCAACCUCCCAAUUUUGGUGCAUCUCACUAUCAAAUUAAUGACAUAUGUCGUAUAUCUAUAUGUACAAUAUGUCGUGUGUAAGUGUCAAGGACAACUUUAUGCUUGUGGUUAAAACAUAAAAUAGAAGGUCAGAUUAGGGCUAGUUCUAAUAGGAUGGAAAGCGGUUCAGAGUGAGGGUGGUUAAGAGAAUUUGUGGUGGCUAAGAGUGCAACAUUCAUUGGGAGGCUUUGUAAUUUUCUGAGGGUUUUGUCCUACUAUAUAUUUUGCAUAAGAGACCUACUAUUGGCAUAAGAACAGAAAACCACCCAAUGGACCUGCUUUAAUAAAGGUUUUAGGUUUUUUCCUAGUUUGCUUGAAAAUGAAUUUCAAAUUUUAUCAAAUAGUUAUAUAAUAUGUGGAUUCUGCCUACAAGUCGAAUGGUUAAGCAGAAUAAAUAGAUAUAUUAUGAAAAUUAAAAAUAUAAAAAGAAAAUGAAUCUAAAAUACUCUUUUUGAUCCGUAUAAAUGAGAGAAAGUUGGAUCAACAAAAGAAGUUGAUAUAUGUGGUUCAAAAUUUAGUUCAGCUACAUCCCUUUUUUUUUAAAGAAGCUCAGAUACAUCCCUUUUUGUUGACCUGACUUUUUCUUAUAUAUAAGAUUAAAGGGAGUAUAUUUUCCGAACAAAUAUUUUUGACUAAGACCUGUACUCAACAAAACCUUUUCCGACUUCAAAUUAUUUAAGAAGUCGAAGGAUCGAUCUAUGUGUUUUGUGAGCUAGUCUAGGAGUGGUGUGGAUGACUAGCUCACAAAAUGAUGUUAUCUUCUCUGCCAAACUUGUGUUGUUCAGAUAAAAAAUGUUUAAGUGUUGAUGAAUACAUAUGUUGAGCUCGUCAUAGAUGAUAUGUCCACAUAGAAUAUAUAUUGGCCAACUAUGAUUAAGGGUUGCAUAAUGAUUUACUAAGUCAUGUGAACAAUGCCAAAAGCAUGGACACGUUCAAAAUGUACAUGCAAGUGAGCUACAUGCAAUAACAAAAGAUGUGUGUUAUUUUAACAACCAUUUAGACAUUGUAUUUGAUAGGUCUAACUCACCGAAAUUCAUCUAACAGUGUCAUAUAGGUAUUUUAGUUGGUAUGGAUUAUUUCACCAAAUGCAUAGAAGUUAUUCCAUUAAGAGAUGUUGCACAUCAAGAUGUUAUUGAUUUCGUAGAAAAUCAUAUUAUGUGUAGAUUUGAAAUUCCCAAAAUAAUAUUGUGAGAGUUAACUUAAAAUCAGAAUUCUGGAGAAUCGUGCCACGAUGGAGAAGUUUCGUGCCACGAUUGUUGAAGCAAAAUUCUGGAGCACUCACUGAAAAAUCGUGCCACGAUGGUGCGAUUGAAGAUAAAAAUAAAACGUAUUUUUAUUGAAGAUUUGUUUCAGUUUUUUAAGGGAUCUUUCACUAUAAAUAUAGACCUUGUAUCAGAGCAAACUUUGAGAUAGAGGAGGCUGAAACAAGGGUUUAGAAAGACAACAACAAAACUAGGGUUUGUAUAGAGUUUGUCUCUUUGGAACAAACACUAGGUUUUGAGGGUUGAUUCACCUUGGGAAACACUAUUAGGAUUGAGUCUCUUGGUUACGGGAAGAGGCUGGGACUUUGGGUAGAAUUAGGAUGGAGACUUAUUCUUGUAACCCAUUGAUUUCUCUUUUGUAACGUUACUCAUCAUAUAGUGGAUCGGAGGGCUGCUCUCUCCCUCAGACUAGGUCAAUUUGGACCGAACUGAGUCAAUAAAUUAUUUUGUGUUUUUCUCUUCAUUGUGUUUUCUCUCGCUGUUGUUUUCUACUUUUGGCUUGUAUUUAAUUGUUCCAUACACUUUGAUUUUGGUUGCUUGAUUAUCCCUUGCUUCACACAUCAAGUUGUUAUUGGUGUGGUUUUCAUCGAAUUCGCAACAAUUGUCAUGUAAAAUUCGUGUACUCAUUUACCCUUUUAUAUUUUUUUUUACCAAGUUAUAUUAUGAAGUUUCCACCGUUGUUUAACGGUUAGUGAUCUUUGUUUAACAAUUGAUGGAACACACAAUGAGUACAAGAAUAGAAGUUGUGAGGGAGAGUUUUUUUGUAUUGUACCACAUGUGCCGAGAGGUAGUUUGCAUUAAAGAGAAAUCAGAUUGGAAAAAACUAAGAAGAACCGUACAAAGUAGUUGUUCUGGGUGUUUGAGAUAUGUGAUCAGAGACAAGCCGAAACUACAACUUUAAGUAAUUGGAUAUCAAGAAUCUCAACAUUUAGAUAUGAAAAGAGAAGGGAAACAAGAAUUAGGUUUGACAUAAAAAGUGAUAAAUGUCGGACAGAGUUCUUUGAGACAAGCCAUGUGAAGAGAGACUUCAUGACAUAAAUCCAAUCCCUUAAGGUUUAACCGAACAAAUAUUAUUAUCCAAUCCUUUCAGACAGUAUGCAACAGCAACAAAAAAAAAAAAACUAUUUUUUAAUAGAUUCAUUUACAAGCAUUCACUCUAAAUUGUUAAAAACAAAAUUAAAACAUAUGUUUACAAAGAAAUAAUUAUUUUUUUUUUGAGAGGUCAAAGAAAUAAUUAUUAUGGUUAGAAAUACUACAUAUAAAAAAGGACAAUGGAAUAAAUAAUCAAAAAUAAUCAACGUAUAAUAAGCUCCAAGAAACCAUUUUUUUUAUUGUACAAGGCCUAUUAAAUGAUUUAUCAUAUAUAGUCGUUUUCUUAAUCAAACUAUGUUCCAGUUGAUCCAUUUUGAGCCCCAUUUUUUUUCUUACACUAUCAAACUGUUUAGGAUAUUUUCCUCAUCUUCUCCUCAAAAGGUGUUACUUCAAUUUUCUUCCAGAUAUUUUCAUUCAUAAUAUUUUACAUCACUCAUCCACUUAAUUCAGCUUUUUUUUUUAUCAUAGUUAUGCUUAUUUUUCCAAUCAGUCAGUACUUCACUGCCAGAUAUCGUUGAUAUAUUGAUCUUAUAGUUAUCUAAUAGAAUCGUUUAUGAGUUUGAUAGUGUAACUUGUGACUAGAAAAUAUGAUCUGAAAUUAUUAAAUUGUACAACUUGUGUUGUGAUGUAGUAAUCCACUUUUUCACCUUUGAUGCGUCCCUAACUCAUGUCUUACUAUACUCAUAUUAUAUACUAUUUCUUGCUCCCACUCAAAUUAUCAAUUGAAAAACUGUUAAUACAAAAGCUCCUUGAUAAAAUUGUUUAGAAUUAGUCAUUUUAUUAAUUAUAUCAUGCACAAAAAGUAUGUAUUGAGGCUCAAACUCUUGGAUGUGCACAAUAAGUUCAUGCAAUGCAAUACUAAGGUAAAUAAAUAAUUCCUCCAGUCUUUAUUAUACUCCCUCUCCGUCCCAAAUUGUACGACGUUUUGGGCAUUUCACACAUAUUAAGAAAUACAAUUAAUAUUGUGUGGAAAAAAGAUAUUAUGAGAUGUUUUACAAAAUGAUCCUUAAUAAAUAAUAUGAGAAAGAUAAAUUAAAGAAUUGAAAGAAGAGGGAGUAAUAAAUAGUUAAGGUUAUAAUAGGAAAAAUAACAUUAAUGUUGCAUUGAUAUUGUUAAUCGACAUAUAAUUUAAGACAAAUUUUUUACCCUAAAACGACAUACAAUUUGGGACGGAGGGAGUAAUAAGAAAAACAAAAAAAACAUUAAAAGCAAUACAAUCAUUAGUUAAAAUAACUUUUUGAAUAUUUGUGCAAUUAUACCCUCAUAAAAAAAUUGUCAAGCAUUAAAUGCAUUCUCUAAUGUUUAAAAAACAAACAUUAAAUGAGGGGUAGAAAAAAAUUUUAAAUAAUAACUACACAGUUGUGAUAUUUUCUUAUAAAUAAGACCAAAAAAUAUUUUAAUUUUUUUUUUAUAUAUAAGAUCGGAGGAAGUACAAACUCAGUCGAUCAAUGAUGCAAACAUGUGGUUAUAGGAAAUACUCUACUACGCUUGCAUUAGUUUGCACAAUAUAGUAGUUGUCCCAUUUUAUGUAUCCUUCAUCCCUUGAGUAGAUCACUACAAGAAUUCCCCAAUAUACUAACCAAUCCAAUAUUGCAUUAUUGAGGGAUUUAGACCCUCAGUAAUUACUGGCGGAAUAAACCUUCAAUAACAUCCAAAUAACCCUCAGUAUUGUUUCCUCAAAUCAUCCCCAACACUACUAAGGGAUUAUUCCGCCAGUAACAUUACUGACGCCAGUAUUACUGAGGGACAUCAAUCCCUCAGUAAUAUCCAUUACUGACAGAUUUUGUGCAUUAUUGAGGGCUUAUUUCCGCCAGUAAUAAGCAAAUUUCUUGUAGUGUGUAGUACAUUACAUACAAUUUUUUUUAUCAAACCAUGUGGUGAACUUUCGUUUCCUUAGGUUUGCAGUGCAGUAGUUGUAGGAAAAUGCUACCAAGUGUCCUGGAGCACUGGUUGAGGAAACAAAUAUAUUCCAUCCGUUUUAAAAUAAGUGUUCUCUUUACUAUUUUUUUUUUUCUCAAAUUAAUUGUUCAUUUUACGAUAUCAAUACAAGAAUUUAUUAUUUUUUUCAAUACCAUACUCUUAUUUAUUGGGUCCUAACGCUUUUUCCAUAUGCAUUUUUAUAAUAAGAGUAAGCAGUCUCAACGCUUUUCCCAUCACACUCUUAUUUAUAUUAAUCACUUUUAAUAGCAUAAAAUAUGGACAAAUUCUAUGGUACAUCUAAAAAUUUGGAUAUAUUGGUACACUAAAUCAAUAAAUUAAUAGUUAAAUGUGUUAUUUUUUGAAGAGAAAAAUUGUUUUAUAUCACCUAUAAUUAUAAUAAUUAAAUUUUGCUUGUUCAAAAAAAAAAAUUAAAUUUUAUUUACCAAAAUCGUCGAAGAAAUAAAAUUUAAUUUUUCUGAAUUUUUAGUACUCAUAAUAGAGAAUUUUGAUUAUUUUUUACGAUAAAAUGUAAAAAAAAAAUUAGUAUGAUUUUUAUGAAUAAUAAAAUGAUGUUUUUCUUAUAAAAUAAAAUUUUCUAAAAUAUAAAUAUCAACAAAUAGUUCUUUAUUCCAUAAAAAUAAUUGUUAAUUUAAAUUUUUUUAAAGUGGGAGUACCGUACCGAUACACCUUAAUUUGCAGGUGUACCGUAGAAGUUCCCUAAAAUAUGCAUUAUGGAGAAGUGUUGGGACUACUUUAGGCACUCAAAUGGGUGACCUAAAUUUAGGACCCGUUGACUUUAAACUUACUCCCAAAAGGUGGUAGACGGUUUUCCUUCUAGAUUUAAAUCAAGAUUGUACAACUCUGUUAAUACAAUCAUGAGCUAUAAACUAAAAUUCCUUCUUGUCCUUUCCUCCCUCCAAUUUUUCACAUAGCAUAAUUAAAAUUUGAAUUUGGAAUUUCUACAAUUUUCCACAGAGAAAAAACAAUUAAACACUUUAUCUGUGUCUUUUCAUUUGCAGCAUGAGUACAGUUUUUUCAUAUCCUCACUAUGAUCCAGAGUUUGAUGCUCACUCUGAAAGGAUAUAUAUGGUCCACCGUAAGUAUAUAAUUCUUCUGUACUCUUCAAAUUAAAUUUCCUGAAUGGGUUUCUCUCCCAUUAAUUUGAUUAUUCGAUAACACACACAUGCUAAUGUUGUUAUGUUUUGUAGUUGUCAGGUUUGCAUAGACAAUGAAAGCAAAGAAGAUUGCACGGUUGUUAAGGUACACACUUGACCAUGACAUUUUUUUAUGAAAAAAAUGUACCUAUUAAUAUAAGGACCAUAUUUUUGUAAAAUUGAUAUUUCAGGUGGAUAGUGUUAACAAGCAUGGUGGUGUCCUACUAGAUAUGUUACAUGUUUUGACAGACAUGAACUUUCAAAUCAUCAAAAGUUAUAUUUCAUCGGAUGCUAAUUAGUGAUUGGUGCAUGGACGGUGUGUUUUAUUAAAUAUCUUAGUAGAAUGUUGAGUUGAGUGCAAGGAUCAUUCUAGGCUCAUGUUUGAUAUUGUUUGUACCUUGACAGACAUGUAGUAUGAUAUUUACCGUUCUUUCACCAACUAUGAUGUAGGGUAUGUAAUUCAGGCAGUGGUGGAGCCAGACAAAAAAGUUUGGGGGUGGUCGUCAUUAAAAUAAACUAAAAUGUAGGAAUCAUGUUGCAUACAACGAAUUUAAGUUGUAAUAAAUUUUGGUCUUCUUCUUGAAAACGAAUCGAUUUUUCAACUCUUCAUCUUAACUUUUAUGUUGCAAAGAAGAAAAUUUAUCAAUUUCAACCAGUUUUAAUUUCACUUUAACAAUGUGUAAUGAACAAGAAUUGGCAAAGGAAUCAAUAUUUCAAGGUAUAAAAAAAAUAUUUUAAAUGGGGGUGCCAGAGCCUAUUGUGUAGUCAGUUUAAUAGGAUACCUCAACCAUUGAAUUAAGAUUCAACGGUUCAUAUUUCACCUUCACCUCUGAAUUGAAAUACAACUCAAAAUAUAAUCCAAUGAUUGAAGUGACUACAUGUAUUUUGAUUGCAAUCCAAGUUAUGAACAUUAUGGAUAUAUUAUAUAUAUAACACAUUUAUUUUUUUAUCUUAUAUUUGCAAGAAAUUGAUUUCAAGAUUCUAGUAGUCAAUGAUAUUUUUUACAUCAUUUUAAUUUAGUAUUUUAAUUUAGUGUACUCGUUUGAAAAUGUUAAGAAUAAUGAUAGUUAGUAUAGUUUUGAGUAAUUAGCUUAUUCUUGUUCUCAUUCAAACCUUUAUGACUUUUUUCACUCUAUUUCUCCUAAUCCUCAAAAUCUAAACAUGGUACACAAUAUUGUCAAUGUUCCCAAGUUUUAAAAUUAAGUGACCGUGUAAGAUUCAAAAUAUUAUAUAUUUGGUACAUUAUCUAUGACCUAACUAAUUAGUUUGUGUUGAUGGGUUAACAGGAGUAUUUCAUCAGGCACAUAAAUGGAUAUGCUUUGAAUACAACAAGUGAGAAGGAACAAUUAAUAAAAUUCAUUGAGGCAGCUAUAGAACGCAGGGUUUGUGAAGUGAAUCAUUGACUUUAAAGUUUAAACACUCAAUCAUUUACACUAAUUUUUUUUAUUCAAAAUCUUUAACGCUAAUACAGAACCAAAAUAAUUAAUGGCCAAAAUUAUAGAUAGAAAAUUGUUGAAUCCUCUACAGUCAGUUUUAUGGUACAACAGACUAUAGAGGAUCCAAUUUGUGAGUUCGAUCUCUAGUUCCAUUUUAUUUUUUUAAUAAAUUUAGUGAUGAUAGAAUUAAAAACUUUUUUUUUCUGAUUUGAAUUGUUAAUUUAAGUUUUUACCUAGAGGUUUUUGUUGAUGUGUCGUGUGUGUUAGAAGUCUCAUAUUAGAUGGAGGACUAGAUAUUAAACAUUAUAUAAGUGAGAUUAUGUCUUAAGUUUUUGAUGAAGAUGUAGUUUCCAAACUUAUUUGUGUGAUUAUUCUUUGAUCAAUGUGAUGAUCCGCUCAAGUUUUAAGGCACCCUGGGAAGUUCCAACAAUAAUACCAAAGUGUGGUUUGACUUGGUGGGAAAGUGAGAAUGGUUUUUGGUGUUUGAUCAAGGAUGUGAAGAGUCUCGUUAUAAGUUAUAAGUCUCACAUUGAAUAAAAGAAUGGAUGUUGAGCGAUAUAUCUGUGAGAGAACUCUAUAUUGUUGAGUAUUGCUCAUAUAUACGCAAAAAAGGGGCAAGGGGUGGAGAAGGAGUUGAACUAGGGUAGUGUUGCGAAGCUCCCUCCAUUUAUCGUAAACUGGACUGUAAUAUUGUAUAUAUUAGUUAAUUCAUCACAGAAAUAAACAUAACUUUAACUGCUUUAUAGUCCCAAAGGUAUGCACUAUUUUCCGAACUACGAGAACAAAGAUUGUGUCUCAUUGUCUUUUGAUUUUUAUUUCUUUUCUACUUUUAUACUAGUCGCUUCUUUAUAUCCUAAUGUCCAAAGUUAUGGGUGAAGAUGUGACAUCCUAACUCACUUGUAUGAUUUUUUUUUUUUUUGUCCAAGGUAAUAAUCGGCAGGCUCCCUUGAAAAUUUCAAACAGUUUCUAACCAUUAAAUUGGUCUUUAUUUUGGAAACUUUGUUUAUAUUAUUUUAUUUUUUCUUGUUUCUAACAUGCAGAGUGUUAAACUAGAGUUGAGUGCAGACAACAGUGUUGGUUUCCUCUCUGACAUAUCACGAGUCCUCAGAGAAAAUAGUCUUGUUAUUGUACGAGCAUUCAUAAACUUGUUCUCUAGUUUAGUCUUUUGGAGAAAUUUCAUUCUCAUGGUCUCAAUCAAUGGACUUAGAUAAACAUAUAUGUCGUAUCUUGGUUGUCUUAGACCCAAAAUCAUCAUAGAUAACAUAAUGUAUUUGCAUAUAUUGGGAGAAUGGGCCAUGAACUAUGUUACUAUUAAAUUUGCAUAUAUCGAUUUAUUCAAUAUGUAGCAAAUUCAAGCAUAUGGUUUCUUGACUUAGUCCCAAAAUCCAUAUACAAUUCAUGAAGUUUUUUCCAUUGUAAAGAAUUAGUCAGAUGACGAAGUUGACCGUCACAUUUUCUCUCAUCUUCAUGUCAUUUAAUAUUGUUUGUAUCAUUUACAUCGAUGGACAAUCGUAUUCCUCAAAAUAUAACGGAUCAACAUUCAAACAUUUAACACGAGAAUGGAGAGUUUUACAAAAACAUAUUGUAUAAAUUCAUCUACUUCUUUCUCAUAUGCUUCACUCAAACAUUUAGUAUUCAUUCAACUACAAUUUGUGAUUACUAAUAUACAUCUACAAAUUUUAAGUUAAAGGGUUAAUUAUAGUCAAACUUAGAGCAUCUCCAACACGGAUUUUAUCAUUGGUAUCAUUGGUUUUCAAAUACUAUGCUACUAUUUCAUACUUGUUUCCAUCGAAUCAUAUCUACUUGGAAAUAUGAGUUCUAUAAAAAAGUGAAGACCGAUAUAUUUAAGUUGUUGUUCCAUACGAAUAUAACAUUAAUUAUGCUUGCAAUUAACCAACAAGAGAAUUAAAUAAGCUAUUGUAAGAUAUGAGUUGCUUAAAUUUAAAUAUGCACGACUGAAGUAAAAAUAUUGUGGAUUGUAUUAAAGUGAUGUGGAAAAGUAGUACUCACUAAAUGAGAGAUAAAUAACCUAAGAUGGGUUACUUAAAUUAUAUACACCCUCCGAUCCUUUAUAUGUGACGUUUUUUGCCUUUUCACUACAACCAAGGCAGCUGAUAAAUAGCUCUCUCUUUCCUUGUCUACCCUUAUUUAAUCUAGUACUCCUUUUUCUAGAUACCAACCAUUUUGAUUGAAAACAAGUAUCCUUGGUAUCAGCUGUUCAUGUGAUAUAAAUGCAUCACGUUUUACAAUUGCUAUAGUGCUUGGGAAGCCUAAAAGACACAAGAAACUUUCAUUACUAAUCACGCUUUUUCUUUCAAAUUUUUAUUCUUUUGUUUCUGAAAUUUUGAAAGGAGUAACAAAUAAACUUUCCCUCCAACUUAAUUUUUGAUUUAAACUUCCCUCCAACUUUGUUAAUCAAAAUUUAUCCUUCCCACCAAAACAAAAUUAAAAUCACCAAUAGUUGAAAUAUAUAUAUAUAUAUGGCAGUUUGCAGAAUUUAAAACUCAUCAAAUAUGACUUCAAACAUUACAAAAUUUUCAUUGUGUGAUAUAGAUUUAAAUGUUGAAUUUACACCUUUGCCAGAUCUUAAUAUUGAUGCAGAAGAAAUAUUUUCUCAUGAAGAGGCUGAAGAGUUCAACAAUGAUAAUAUUGGUAUUGUAGUUGUUCAUUUAUGUGCAGUUAGCUUUGUCACCUUUGUAACACUACUAAUUGUUGUUUUCUUAUUCUUCUAGUAUUGUUUUUUUUCCAACAAUUAAAUUGUGGCUGAAGAGUUCCACCAUGUGCUUUGUCUUGUACUCCAUCACAUGAGCUAAAUGUCUUCCACUAUUUAUUCUCCAUACAUAUGUCAUUACGUGAAACAAUUGCGUAUGAAUGAGGAUAUGCCUUCAUCUAACAAUCACCAACACAUGCGCUUUAAUAUAGAUUUUUGAAACGAUUUAUUUUAUGUGUACAGAAAAAAAAAUAGGCUUAUUUCAUUAAGAAUUUUUUUCUUAAUAUUGUGUGUUAUAUUGAUUUAUAUUUUAGCAUCUCACCAUUUUAUUUUUCAUGCAAGGAGCAAUUCAAGAAAAUAUUGAAGUCACAUACCAUGAUUUGGACAAUGGCAUAGAUAUGAAUUUGGGAGACAACAUAGACCAUGAGUUGGACAAUGGUAAGUUAUUUUUCUUUAACUCAUUCAUUAAUAAUUUUUUCUUAAUAUUGUGUGUUGAACUAAUUUAUAUUUUAGCAUCUCACCAUUUUAGCAUCUUACCAUUUUAUUUUUAAUUCAAGGAUCAAUUCAAGAAAAUAUUGAAGUCACGGACCAUGAUUUGAACAAUAGCAUAGAUAUGAAUUUGGGAGACAACAUAGACCAUGAGUUGGACAAUGGUAAGUUAUUUUUCUUUAACUCAUUCAUUAAUAAUUUUUUCUUCAUUGUUGUUCAAAGAGUCUUUCAUUAUUUCUUCUUCUAUGUUGCCCAAUGAAUUUUCCACUCUUUUUUCUCCAUUGUUGUUCAAUGAUCCUUCCACUGUUUUCUCUUGUUUCAUGGAUUCUUUGGUUUGUUCCAUUACAUCUAUGGGUAGUUCCUUUUUCAUGGUUAGUGUACAUAUUUAAAGAGCCAAAAUUGUGGAUUUCCAAAUUCUUGGAACAAGCCGAGUGCUAUGGGUAGUACUCCUUGCAUUUAUUAGUAGAAAGCCUCGGUAAAAUAAUCUAACGGAUGAAUUGGAUUAGGCUAUAGUCAUUGACUAUGCAAUUAAUGUAUAAAAUGUGGCGAUUUAGAGGUUAAGGGUAUAAUAGACAUAUUACAACUUUAAACUCUAAAAGUGACACUUAUAUAGGAACAAAAUUUUUUCCCAAAAGUGACACUUAUAAAGGAACGGAGGGAGUAUAAUAUUGGAUUGGAUUGGCAGGGCCGGCCCAAAGCAAGAGCAUCCAGGCCCAUGGCUCAGGGCCUCCAAAUUUUGGGGGCCCAAAUUUUUUUUUUUUUUUAUGCAUAUAAGGCCAUAAAAUGUUACAUAUAUUUGUUUAGCGAAAAUUUUAGAAUUGUUGCGAUGGUCCAGUGGUUGAAAGAUAUGUGCGUGGGCUUCUCAUUCUCGAUUCUACUUCCAGGAAUUACUUUUUUAUUAUUAUGUUUUUGCAAUUAAGCAUAAUUGCAUAAGUGUGCCUCCCAGCAAAUUCUUGCAAUUAAAAUAAAUGAUAAUAUUUUUGAAUUUUUUGUGCAUUUUUUUAUUGGAGGGGCCAAUUUUUAAGAUUGCAUCAGGGCCUCCGGAUUGUUUAAGACGACCCUAUGGAUUAUGCUCUUAGUAUGACCUUCUACAAAAUUCUAAGACAACCCCUUUGCUUGCUGAUGGAUUAGCUGUUGAUGGGAAAGUAAGAAGUUAACAACAUAAUUUUCAAAUUCAUUGGACCAUCCACAAUGAAGCUCCUCUAUUUAGGUAUUUAAGUGAGUCUCACAUAUAAACAUCGUCUAUUUUAAAAUUUUUAAUGUAAGUACCUGUAAACACUCAAAAUUCGGAUGAGAUCUUCUAAAAAACCCAGAAAUUCAAAUGAAAUAAAUGCCUCAAAAAUUGAUCUUCCUUGUGAACCCAUAUGUUUUCUUCAAACCAAAAUCUUCUAAAAUAAAAAACUAAAUCUAAAGGUUGGUUUAUUUGCACAAUUCGUCAAACCGCAUCUUCAUUCAAAAAAUCAAAACUGAAACAAACUGAUUUCAAUUUGAUUUUAAUUUUGAGUUCGAUUAUGUGUUACAGAUUCGUGUGAAUGAGGAACAAGGAGGUUUUCGAUUCCAAUCUCCUCCAUCUUUGUGUUUCGAUUUAAGUUGGUGUUUUGAUAAAUUUUGGUGAUGAGAUGAUGAUGUUUGUUUUUUGUUUCUGGAAUCUUUUUUCUAGUUUGUUUGAGAGAAAAAAAUUAUGGGUUGUUUGUGAGUGAGUGAUGAAGAUGAUGUUGAAAGAGAAAAUGAAUCUUAAUGGAGAAAAUGAUGCAAAUUUAAAUCGAAGAGAAAAAAAAAAACACGUGUUGAUUUUAUCAAUUUGAUAAAUUCAUGUUUUUUUUUUUUUUGGUCUUACAUGUGUAUUUGGUUUUAAUGUUGUGUUUUAUUUGAUAUUUUAUUUUUAUAAUUCUAUGGUUUUUUCUAUGUGAUGAAGAUAUGAACAUCAUGAAUGAAGAAUUUGGGUUUUUUUUUUAUUUAUGAAAAAAAAAUUGGCCAUUGGAAUUUUUGAUGAAUGUAUGAAGAUGAUGAUGAAGAUGAGGAGGGAAGAAGAUGAAGAAAUGUUAAAAAAAAUAGAUGUUUGUGAUGCAAUGUUGGUCCACCUAAUACAUUUUGAGUUAAAGUUAACUGACAUGGAUCAAAUUGUCUGACGGAGCAUAUUUGAGGGACCAAACGGAAAUUUUUUAGAGUUAAGGGACCAAAUUGAAAACAACAAAUAAGUUAAAGGACCAUUUAUAAAAUUAAGCCUAUUUUUUAAAAGUACAUAAAGCAGCCCCCUAAAGUGUUGUUUCUGGCUCCCCCGAUGUCCUUCCUCAUUUCAAGUUGUCUCAAAACUUCAAAACCAUUUCUCAAAAUCCCAAACUCCCAAAACUCGUUUCCAAUAUUUCCUUUUCCACCAAAAACCACUUCCAAAACAUCAUAUUUCACAAGUUUCGAAAUCAUAAAAGUCCCAAUUUUCCUUCUCUGCAGGAGGACAUGGCGCCAUCGUUUCUGGGAAAGCUAUUUGAUGCAGCUGCUCCUUAAUAAGUAUCUUCGUAUUGUAAUCAGCAUUGUUAAACCGAAUCUGAAAAUAAAAAUAAAAAAAUGAAAUGAGAAUUUGUUUCGUCCAGAAGGGCCGAUUCGGACGUGUGAAAUACCAGCACAGAAUUACUAUUGAAUCAAACCUGAAUCGCUUCCAACUCUGGCAAAAUAGAUAUAUCUGAACAAUCUUCCUUUGGCACACCGUCAUCAUCAACCAACUCUUCAGAUUUUGGACCCUUCAUAGACUUGUUAUACCUUGAACGUGCAUUAUAAAUCUGCUUGAUAGUAAUCCCAUCGUCAGCUCUUCUUUUCUUCAAAGUCAUAAGAAUAUUUUUUGGACGGACAGUGUUAUUUGUCAUCUCAUGAACGAGUUUCAUCUCUUCCUCGUUUAAACGGCCUGCAAUAGGAUUAUCUUCUAAAUUUUCCAUCAUCUCAUGAUUGUGUUUUCCACACAUUACGGUAAGUUCCCAUACACCAGAGGACAAAAAAUAACCCCGCAAUCUGAAUGGACACUCACAUUUUUUGAAUCUUGUGUCUUGGCGAUUCGAGUGCUUCUUAUAUACACCACUCCUUUUGCAUUCAAGUAGAAGAGUUUGUGUUCCUCUAUUAUUUGACUUUGAAAUAACAAUACCAAACCCUAACUUGGUUGCUUCACCUCGAACCCAUUUCAGCAGGUCAUCUCGAGUAGUAAAUUCUUUAUCGGUGGCAAAGUGUUUAGCGAAAUCAAGAGACUCAUCGACUGGUUCAGCAAUGUCAGGCUUCAAAUCAGCAGAGGGAUCCUCCAUACCUGAAAUGGUAUCGUGUUCGUGAGAAAAAUAGGCUUAUACAGUAAGUACACAUUCUGAGUUGGCCCAUUUGGACCCUUUUUAAAAUGAAAAGAUUGGCUUAUUCAAACGAUACCAGUAAUACGUAAAAACAAAACGCAAAAGAAACAAUUAGAAGGAAAUUAGAGUCACGUUUCAUUUGCUUUCAAAUGAAAAUUGUGUAAAUAUAAUCAAUGGGAUUAUAGGAAUGAGUAAUGAAACACACAUUUUGUAAAAUAAGGGUUUUAUUUAGAGUGAUUUUAAAUAAGAGUUGAAGAUGACGGGUUUCAAAUAUAUCAUAUAUAUGCUUUCGAGUGUUUGACAUAAACUCAAAAAUAACAUAAACACUCAAAAUUUGGCUAACAAUAUUCCUGUUAUGACUACAAAGUUAAUUACAAGUCAUACGGCAUCAACUUUUCAACAGGCCCAACCGGAAGGUUUACUAAUAGACUAACAUCAAUUGACAUACUUGAUAACAUGAUGAAAUCCAUACUAAAAGAAGUUACGUAUCAAGGCUGCAUAUUCAUUUACCCAAUUGAGAAAAUUCACUAAAGAGAAAAUCAACUUUUUUCCUAAAUGCUGUUAAGAGGCAAAUUAAAAUUUGGCAAAUGCAACAACUAAAAACAUGUAAGAAAAACAAUUUACAUAAAAUAAAAAUGAUACAGUAAUAGUGACAAAAUAGCACUAUCGGGUUGAGUACUAAAAACCUGUGUUAAAGUUCUAUAAAAUAUUGCUUUUCUAAUAUCCUGCAUUUAUAAAAUUACAAAGCAAAUCCCAUUUUGCAUUUGUAAAAAUGAAGUUUAAAAAUACAAAGCAAAUAUGAUUCCACACUUAUAAAAAUGCAUAGUUCUCUCUCCAAAUACUUAGAAGAAAAAAAGAAUACAGUGUUCAAUGUGGCUCAAAAGUUCCUGGUGAUAUUUGAUCAGCGCGUCCUGGUGAAAUUUGAUCAGCGCGUUCAUGGAAUAUUGACACUUGAUGUCAUUUCCCUAGCUGUUCAGGCAAUGCAAGCAAAUUAACAUUAUCACCUUAACAAGCUGAUUGUAGUUAAUGAAUUUGUUGAUUUUUUUCAAGACUUUAUCUCUAUGCAUAAAAAACUUACACACUCGACUCCUAUGCCAAAAUAAGAGGAUCGAUCAGACUCGAAAACUAAAUAAUUUACCAGAACAUUCUUAAUUUCCUUGAACCAAAUUCAUGAACAGAAAAUGUUAUUGUCUUAUAAAUUAAAGACUUGUACUGGAACAAAAGAACAAGGCACAACCAAAUAUAACACAAGGAGCAUAACAUUCUGAACCAAUGUGGUUUUGGGUUUAAUUAGCAAGAAGAGUUAUUUUACACAUGCUUAAAGAACAAAUAUAAGAAGAGAGCUAAAUCUCAUCCACAAUCUACACUCUUUCAAUAUUCAUUCUACAAACUUAAUAAUAAAAACACAUGAAGUCUAAAACCAAGAAAAAUAUGAAUAAUAAGAUGCAACAAAAGCUAAAUAUCAGCCAGAAUCUACAUUCUUUCAAUAUUCAUCCAACAAACUUGAUAAUAAAAACACAGAUUCUGAAACAAAGAAUGAUAUGAAUAAUAAGAUACAACAAAACAAAAACCUUACCUUUUGCUAGGGUAGAACAAAGAAACAACAUAGAUGCAAGAAGGGAAAUGAAACCCAAAAUUUUAAGUUUUGCAAUUGCAAAUCUAAACACCAAAUUUGCGGAAAUAAAACAAAAUGAAAAACACGGAAAUGACAAGUGUAUUGUAUCUUAUUGGAAAGAACAACACAACAAAACAACGAAAUCAAAUAUCAAUAAGACAAAUCAAGAAAACAACAAUUCUACAUGUGAUGACGGUGAAGGACACAAGUGAUUGUUGAAAAAAUGAGAUUCAAGUCCAAGGAUUUCAGGUUUCACAGAUAUACAUGAAAGGGAUCAGAGUUAAAAACACCUUCUAAGUAGGUUAGUCAAAUAACCAACUCAAAAAAUGUUUCCACUAAUUUCAAAACUUUCACCAUACCACCUCAUUGUUUAAAGAAGCUUGUAGAAACCGGUUUAAAAGCCUGUGCUAAUAAUUAUGUUUUGCACUAGUAUACAUUUUUCUCUUCACACCAAUUAAUAUUCGACAAUGCCAAAAGUAAAUUACAUAAAAGUAAAUAAAAGUGCCAUGGAAAUUGAUUGUUCAUUUCAUCGUAUACCAGCUAGUGUUGAAUUUGUCUAAAAUUAAAUACUUUUACACAAAAAAGAACAAUUGAUCGGAGAGUGAGAGUACAACUACAGACGAAAGCAAUCUUCUGUAUUUUAAUAUAAAAACAAAACGAAAACUAGAAAGAAUAAUCUUAAAAUGGUUUUAUUUUACAAACUUAAAGAAUGCUGUCCUUCCUUUAAAAAAAAAAAAAAAGAAUGCUGGCCUAAAUUGGUUUGUAUUGCAUAUAAUUUGCAAUAGACAAAUAAGCUCAAUGAGGCUAAGCAUGGACUUGAAUUUCAAAACGAAAAUAUAUGAGAAUCACUCCAAACUCGGUAGCACCGACACGAUACCGACAAGUAUUAUUAAGUUCAAUUAAAUCAUUUUAAAAAUUUAGCAAUGUUGACAUGUAAGUGUCGUGUUUGGUGUCUGUCUAUGUGCUUCAUUCAUACAACUUUUGAAAUAUUUCACAAUUGAAGUACUAAGAUCAUGCAUGAUAUAUGAAUGUAAAACAAAUUGAAAAGUAAUUACAUAAUUACAUUGGAUAUGAAACUAGAUAAUGCAUAUAGUCAAAACCCUAACAUUUAGAUCUAGAAAAAUGGAAUAAGACAAAAACCCUAACAGCCGACAAGAAAAAACAAACAAGGUGUAAAUUUAGGUGAAACCAAACUGUGUUAGGGAUUUAGGUUUUAACAGAGACAAGGGAAAGGAAAGUGAAUUUUUACCUGAUAAGGGUUGACGGAGAAAAUGUUUGUGUCGAUCCGUCAUAGUCACGGAUAUGUUCUUCUUCCUCCUGCGUCGCGUCGCGUGUGCCGUCAGUAGAAGGAGGAUUGAGUGCGAUAGGGUUCGCUUAACUGAAUGAAUGAAGAGAGGAAAGGGAUUCGAGAUGAUGGGCUUCGCGCCUUAUGUUUUUGUUUUAUGUUUUUAGGCUAAAUUACAACAACAUCCUUUAAAUUUAGGGUGUAUUUGUUUCAAGUUUACUAAAUUUAUUUCUAGGAAUAACAUUCCUUAGAAUAUAAAUAUGGGAAUUUUAUUCCAGCGAAUUUAGGAAAAAUAUGUUUGGUUAACUUUAUAAUAUUUCUAGGAACCAUAAAAAUAGGGAUUAUAAUAGGUAAACUAUUUAUGAAUUUAUUCACAUCUCCAUGGGAACUUUAUUCCACCAUUUUCCUUGGGAAAUUUUUUCUAUUCCCAGGAACAUUUUAUACCCGGGAAUAAAAUUUAAUAAACUUGUAACAAACAUAGGCAUAUACAUUCCUAUUAUUUUAUUCCCGGGAAUCAACAAUUAUAACUUGAAACAAACACACCCUUAAGAUUGUAAUAGAUUAACAUUUAAGUUAUUUUAGUGACAAGUAAAUUUUUAAGUUUGAGAUUUAUAACAUAGGGUCUUGUUAACGACUGCAUUUGCGGUACUCUUUAAACAUUCUAAAAUAAGCAAUAAUUUUUUAAAAAAGUUAAAUGUUUCGAUUUCCAAUAUAUUGAUUAUACACUUUUUCAUAAAUAGUUACUGCUUAUAAGUGUCUCGGGAGCACUCGUUAACAUUUUUCUAUAACAUAUUAUUCAUAUAAAUUAUUUUGUUCACACGUAAGUCUUUUAAGUUUGAGAUUUGUAAUAGAUUGUUCAUUUAAGUUAUUUUGGUUACACAUAAAUCAUUUAAGUUUGUAAACAUUUUCGAUUUAGUCAUUCUACUACAUCAUCGUUUUUGUAAUGUUUGGUUAACAUAAUGACUAAAUUAAAAAUGUUUACAAAUUUAAAGGACUUAUGCGUGACAAAAAUAACUUAAAGAACAAAUAUGUUACAAACCUCAAACUUAAAGAACUUAUUUCAGUUAUGUGUGACCAAAAUAACUAAAAGAAUUAAUCUGUUACAAACCUUAAACCUAAGGAUCCCUAGGCUAAUUUAGCCAAAACGUUUACAGAUUUGGACUUAUAUGUGACCAAAAUAACUUAAAUGACCAAUCUGUCACAAACCUCAAACUUAAAGGACUUAUGUGUACCAAUUUAUUACAAACCUCAAACUUAAAGGAUCCUGGUGUAAUUUAGACUUUUUUUAUAUUGGUCACGUUAAAAUUUGCCUUAUUUCAGGGAAAUAAGUGGGGUGUCUUGAUUCGAACUUCGUUCCAGCAUAUAUAAAUAACUAGCGGAAAGACAACAUUCAAAUUUCCUCACUUUUUACCAUUUGUUUAUUGCAUUGAAAUUUUGAAAUUAUAAACAAUAUUUAAGGAUAUAAUUAGAAUUAUGGGUGUUUGUGGUGCGGAUUAGUUUGGUUUUAAGGAUAAAAGUCAUCUUAAUUGCGAAUAACAUGCAAUUUGGUUUAGAUUGGUUGAAUUUUCAAAUAAAAAUCAAAUGAUCAAUACAAGAGAGAAUGCCAACUUGUGAAUUGGUGUUAUGUAUGACAACCUUAACAAGGUUACGAGCAACCAUAUUAAUCUCUCUCCUAAAAAACUUGACAAAAGAGUUGUUAUAUUACAUGAUAAAUUACUACGACAUAUGCAUACAAUGGAACAUACCUAGGUUUAUCAUUGACUGACAAGUUAAAAGAGUCCACGACAUCCUUCAAAUUUAGAGAAAGAUAACUUGUUUGAACUCUAACCCACUUCCACUCGAUAAUUACCCAUAAGCCCGAAGACUCGUCCUCCUUAACAUUCAAAAUGUACCCUUAAACAUUUCAUACUCGUCCCUUAAUCAAGUCUCAAUUUCAACCUUAUUAUGUUGCUAAAAAAGGCAUGUUGAUAUCCCAUCCAAUGAGCAUGUGUGAGGUAGUGAUACUUGAGGCGGACGAGGGCGAAGAAUGGUCGCCAGUGCGCAAGGCAUGAUAAUAUGCACUCAUGGAAGCUUCUAGGAAAACCGAAUCACAUCGAAAUGAGAGGGGAUCCUGAGGUUGUGUAUGUAUGAGAUUGCAUGAUUAAAGGAAGGCUUGCAAGAAUUGUUUGGUACUAGCUAUACAAACAAGAUGCAUCUUCUUUUCGAUAGUCUAUUCAAUAAGAACUUCACUGUUAAACGUGCUUGACUUGGAGUAGUCUUUGGAUGGAUGACAUUCUGGGAAGUUUUCCAAAAAGCAUGCGAAUGAGGAUGAAGCACGCUGAAAAGACUCUUGUUUGUUUGUAAGGUCAGUCAUCAUUGCUUAAAGUCAUUUAGGAUGUUACAAGUGGUAUCAGAGCAAACCUCUCCCGGUACGAUGUGGUUCGGAGACAAACCAAGCAGAAGCUGGUGGGCAUGUAAUACCCGAGGCUGACGAGGACACGGUGCGUGGUCGCCGGUGCACAAGGCAUGACAAUGUGUGGCUCCUAGCAACUUCUAGGCAAAUCGAAUCACAUCGGAAUGAGAGGGAUCAUGAGGUUGUGCAGGUAUGGGACUGCAUGGUUGAAGGAUAACUCAUAAGAAUUGUUUGGUACUACCUAUACCAACAAGAUGCAUCUUCUUUUCGGUAGCUCAUUCAAUAAGAACUCCACAGUUAAGCGUGUUUGGCUUGGAGUAAUCUUUGGAUGAGUGACCCAUUUCUAAUACACCAGGUUUCAUGUGUUAUGUAUGUCGUGGGUUGGCAUGUCACCCUAUAUAUAGAUGAUGUUUAGGGUUUUAGGGUGUCGACCAAUUAUUAUAUUCCUCAUAUUUUACCUAUUUAGUUCGUCUCUUGAGCUGAAGGUGCAUGCAUUAUUAUAUGUAAGGGUCGGGUUCGAAUCUCAUACACCCUACUUAUUUAUCUUGAAAAAUAUAAAUUCUAACUACUAGACUACUUGAAGAAAAAAAAAAUUGUGACAAUCCAAUAUUGAAAUUUUAUGCUGACCUCUUUGUAAAUUUUUUAGAGCCAAAAUUGCUUAUUUGUCGGUUUAUUUGUCCACUCGUGUAUGUACUUAAUCUAUUUGUCAAAAAUAUUAAUUAACUGUUGUUUAAUUUUCAUUAUUUUAUAUUUUUUUAAUAAUAUUAUUUAUCUAUUUGACUCCUUUAAAAAGAAAAAAAAUCCUAUUUGACUCGAUUUGUGUAAAUUAUUUUUCAUCUAUAGAUGAAUAAGAACAAAGAAGAUGCAUAAACAUCGGCUCAAACAUUUAACGUUUUUUGUUAAAAAAACCAUUUUACGUUUGGAAGGGAAAAGAAAGCACUUGGUACUGUGUAUCAGAAUAUUCUAUAUACCUCAAAAUAAAUAAAUGAUUCAGUGUCUUUAUCCCAAAGCCAUUACUUCCAUUACCUGCCACUGGCCAUUGCCAGCAAUUUUUCAUUAUUCAUAUUUAGUUAGAAUUUGCUAAUUUGUUUAUAGUUGAUUUGUCAAUGCCCUAGUAGUGACCCAUUAACUAACAAGAAUUAAUGUAAAGGAAAACUUCACUCCUAUCUUUCCUUUGGUUUCUCCACUUUCGAAUGGGAUGUCAUCAUCAUUUGAUAAUAAUAAAUCAAACUCUCCCAAGUUGACACGAUAAGCUUGUUAAAUGCGUACUUAGGACGACAUUAUUAUGAUUUGAAUAUUAACAAAGCAACCUCUCCAAGGUUUAGUAUAUUAGUUAAAAAAAAUUACUAUCUUAGUUAGAUUCAAGAUUUUGAGUUCGACCUUAGCUAAUAUAUUUAGGAGGAGGUAAAUGAAUGUAUAUUCAAUUAUAAAUUUUGAAAGUCUUCUAUGCCAAGACUAUAUACGUUUUACCAUCACCCUAAGUUUCUUUGUAUUUUUUUUAACAAAGUAAAGUAACCUUGGUACCAAGAUUACGUCAUUUGUAUUUUUAUAAUAAUAUGAGAAUGAGUAUGUGAUAGAGAUGAGAGUAUGAAUGCUAUAGCUGUUUUAUUAAACAAAUAUUUUAUAUAAGAUUUUUUAAGAAGUGAAGAUUUCAAGAAAAUCAGUUUUGUUAUUAUUUUGAAAUGUAAUUUUGAGUAGGUUCUAAACACUAAUUAUGAGAAAUUGCGUGAAAUAGCUUCACAUUAUGAGUGUUUUUUCAAAAUUUUAUUAUUCAAAUAAAGUUGUAGUAAAAGAAUGAAUACUUAAAAUAACUUUUAAAAAAGCUAUUUAAAUCGAUUUCUCAUUUGAGAUCUUCUUUAGAAAAUUCUUUUUUAAAAAACUUAUAACAAAAAUAUGAUACACUUUAAAGAUCAUUUUAAAAAAAAAAUUUGUCACAUAAAGUAUGCAUGAGUGGUCUCUCAUGCAUGCAGAGAGUAUUUUUUUUGGUGGUCAAUGUUUAAACCUCAGACCUUAUGCAUUGUCCAUACCAACUGAGUUAAGCUCACGAGAACAUGUAUGUAGAGAGUAUGUGUGAGUGUUGUAAUCUUCCAAAUACUAAAUUUACUUGCUAACCGUGGAUUUAAAUUCAUUAAAAGAUAUCACCACAUAUAACUUCUACUACCUCUGUCCCUAAAUAUAGUAGCCUUUUGAAAAAUUACGGAGAUUAAGAAAGUUGGUUGUAGUAUUAAAUUUGUAUAUAAUUACUAUUGUUUUUAUAAUUUUAUCCUUAAGAGAGAGAGUUAAUUUAUGUUUUCAACAUAAUAUUUAUUGUUGAUUGAAGAAAAAAAUGCAAAAUAAAUAAGGGUACGUUGGUAAAGAAAUAAUUAAUGUACUUAGAAAUACCAAAGGGGUCUUAUAAAAAGGGACAUUUUUUUUUUCCAAAAGAGUCUUAUAAUUAGGGACGGAGAUAAUAUAUUUUUUUUUUUGAAGAACUUCUUUUUUUUUUUUUUAGUAAGUUCUCAUAAAAAUCAUUUUAAAAAUAUACUCAAAAUUACUUUUUUGAAUCUAUAUAGUAAACAAGCUCAUCAUUUAUCAUAUCAAAGGUAACUCACUCACAUUUUAUGUCAGACGGUAUUUCAAAAUACAUUAUCUUUUGUAAAAAUACAUGCAAGAAAUCUUCGUGUUGGAUACCCGUAUUAAAAUGAUAACACAUAUAUCAUUCAUCUUAGCUGAUAAAGUCACUCAAAUUUUAUGUUAACCUUAUUUCAAGUAAGAUUAUCCCUCAUAAAAAAUAUGUCAGGCCAGAGAUCUAAAAAAAAUACUCAAAUAAUCAAACUCACGUUACUAGGGUCAGCCUUAUGCAAGAGUAACAAGACCCUUUACACCGUAUUAAAAUGAUAACACAUAUAUCAUUCAUCCUAGCUGAUAAAGUCACUCAAAUUUUAUGCCUAACCUUAUUUCAAGUAAGAUUAUCCCUCAUGAAAAAUAUGCCAGGCCAGAAAUCUAAAAAAAUACUCAAAUAAUCCAACUCACGUUACUAGGGUCAGCCUUAUGCAAGAGUAACAGGACCCUUUACACGUGGUCUCAAACUUUGAGAGGUCUCAAAAUUUGAAAGAAAAAAACUUGUAUCUAUGAACAAAAUCCAUCACUAAAUAUUUUUUUUUCGCGUGCAAAAGUCUGAAAAACAACAAUGCAUAAUUGAUUUUCUUUACACUAGUUAAUUGAAUUUUAUUUUUGGAUUAAAUCUAAUUUUUUCAUUUUAAUUCAUAUAAAAAAUUUCUUGAUUUUAGUUUUAAAUGUUUUUCAUCACCAUUUUUGAUAUUUGCUUUUAAGUCAACUCAUAUGUAUUAUUUGAAAUUUUUAAUGAAUUUUUGAAAAAAUGUUUGAAGUGUUACAAGAUUCUCUCCAAAAAAAAAUAUUUUUUUUUAACAAGCAUAGAUUAAAUAAUAAAUUAAGCGCUAAAAACAUAAAAAUUUAUAUUUAAUUCAUUUUUUAUUAAAAAUAAAUAAAUUUUGCAAGAGCUUUUUUUUUUAAGGAAAAUUUUUCAAGAGCUAGUUAUAUAAUGUACUACUAAACAUGAUUGUGAAAAAAUUUAAAAUUUAAAAUGAUAAACGCGAGUUGACUUAAAUUUUUUAAACGAUAUACAUGAUUUGACUUAAAAACGGAUUAAAAGUGGCAAUAAUGUUUUUUAAGAGACUAAUAGUCGAACAUAAAUUUUAAUUUAAAGAAAUUAAAACAAAAAAUUAAAAUGUUUAUAAGGAUCAAAAUCAUAUUGAUCCUUUUAUUUUUUACGCACUAAUAAAAAAAUAGGAGGAAAAAUUGUUCCAAAAAAAAUAUAGGAGGGAAAAAGAAGAAGAACCUAUAAAAAAAAAAAGGAAAAGAAGAGGAUGAAAAUCAAUAGAAGAAAAAACUUUGAACAAGAGUAAGAGUAACGUUGAAAAUUAAUUACCAUACAGAAACAAUAAAUUUAUAUAUAUUUAAUAAAAAUAAAUUAACGUUUUCCCUCUAUUUUCUCUUUCUUCCAACUAUUUUCUCUACCUUUUCCGUUGUUGCAAGAUUCCUUCAACCUCUUGCAACAAUUUCAACAUCUUCAUCUUCUUCUCACACAUACAAGCUUCAAUUCUACCAAAAGUUGAAGCUUUUUCAUACAUGAUUUGGUUAAGAAUUUAGUAUAUUGAACGGUGAUUGAUUCUGGGAUCUGGCAGAAGCAGAAACGUGUGGAUCUCUGCAAAUUCUGCACUUUUUUCCAUCUGGGUAUUGUUGAUUUGGGUUUCUAAUGGGUAGUUUGAGAUACAAGGCAGGAUUGUUUCUUAUAGGUACUGUUGUUAUCAUUUGGGUCUCCUCUGCUGAAGUCACCCAGGUAAAUUUUUCAUCUUUUCUUAACCAUGAUGUAAAUUAUUUAAUUUUCUCCUAAGUUUGGUAUUAUUGCAUAAUUUGUAGUAGAUAGAUAAAUGUGAUUUUGUGUUUUUUUGUUAUAUUUUUUAGGCCCUUAAGUUUAGUACUAGUUCAAUUCCAUUUAAUGAUUAUGGAGCUUAAUUAUGUCAUAGUAUAUAGGACCUUAUUGUUAAUUUUACUACAAUCAUUUAGGAAGCUGAUGUAUUUGAGAGAUGGAUUUAGGUUGAUAUGGCUUUGCUUCAUGUGACUUGAUUUGGAAGCUUUCUAUACAUCAUAAGAUUCAAUCAAUUUUUUUUUUUUAAACUCGGUAUCCGGACUAAGGACUAACUAAUCUUGGGGACAAAUCCCACCGUCUAUUAGUAGGGACUCAAUCGAAAUUAGGGCAACGCUCUGUAUGGACUGGCCGUCUCACCCAACACAUAAAUUGUUGGCACUUGGGGGAUUUGCACCUGAGACCUAGAAAGGAGCACCCUCCUAGGUCCCAAGUAUUCACCUCGAGGCCAACCCAAACCCCGGGGGUUUCAAUCAUUUUCUUAUACAUACACUAUUUUAAAGUUUGUGUUUUUUCUAUAAAGGUCGUGUGAGAUCGAAAGCUCUGUUGGCUAAGAAUGAUUAGUUUACGAUAUAGCUAACCUUAUGACCCAAUGAGAUUGACUUAUUGGAAGCAUGCUUGGUCCACAAGUGGAGAGGAUGUGUAUAGGGAUACUUAAUAAUUGGAGGUCCUGGUUCGAUCCCAUGUAAACAAUAAGUUCUUUUGAGAGAGGUCUUACCCCUUUUGCUCUGUUAGUCUUGAACAGGAUUACCUUUGGUAGGAUGAUACCUGUGGAUUUGAUCCCCAAAAAUGCAGUCCUCAUUGCUUUAAUUUAAGGGAUUAUGUGAAUUGUAUUUAUAUGUAAUAUGUCAUUGCGGUGCUCCAUUGUUCCAGUUAUAUGUUGCAUAAGUCAAGUUAUGUCUUACGUAUGUGGACCAGAGGACACUGCGUUGUCUAAGCUUGAAGGUUUAUGUUUUCUAAGUUGAUAAGUUUGCUUCAAUUAGUAUAGAAUUUCAGUAUCUAAGUCCUCAUCUAAGCACGGUUGGAGAUUAAUUUGUUGAAAAUGCCAUUGCAAUUUGAAAUUCUGAUCAAGUGGUAUCUUUUAUUGGACACCAUAGCAUGCAGUGUGCUAAUAUCCAAGCUUUAUAUCAUGAAUGAUUAUCUCAAUUAAAAUUUUCUGCGCAGGAUAUUUAUACCGAUUAUAAGCAGCCAUUUGUGGUGACAUAUCUUGGAGCUUCUCUCAUGGUACUUUACCUCCCAAUAGCAUUCAUUAAGGAUUGGUUCUAUAACUUUCUUAAACACCGCUCUUCUAAAAGUGGAAAAAAUGCAGAAAGCGGCAAUGGAAUGCAGAAAGACUUUGAAAUGGAACUAGGGAAUGUGGUUCGAAAAGACAGUGAUAUAGACCUUUCAACUCUUGGAGAGAUAGCACCAUUGGUGGCUAAAUAUAAUGAAACUAGUUUGGCAAAGGAAGAAAAAGAACUUACUACAAAGGAAAUUGCUACUUAUGGAUUUUACAUUGCACCUAUCUGGUUCAUAACAGAGGUAAGUAACUCAUGAUUGAAACAUGUGUAUCUUUGUUAUUUAUUCUGGUAUAUGACAUCAUAUAGGAAAUGUAAUGUGUUAUUUUAUUGUUGUAUUUUGUCGCUUUCAGUAUCUAUCAAAUGCUGCUCUUGCACGUACUAGUGUUGCGAGUACAACAGUAUUGUCAUCUACUUCAGGACUCUUCACUCUUUUCAUCGGUGUAUUAAUGGGCGAAGACACUUUAAAUAUAUCAAAAGUAGUUGCUGUCUUGGUCAGCAUGACCGGAGUUGCCAUGACAACUCUGGGCAAAACUUGGGCCGCAGAUGACUCGCAAUUUAAUGCUUCGUAAGCCCUUUCUAUCUCUUUGAUGACCAAAUUCGCUUCGUUAUUCUAAUUCCAGUUUUAAGAUGUCAAACAAUUUUUCUAGUAGGAGAUAGUCGUUUUGCAUCCUUUACUCUCUGAGCUGGUUUACAAACAAGCAACAUUAUUUUUAAAAUAUCUGUUCAAUAAAAAACAUAUAAUUAUGUAUCUUUUGUUAGUAUAAUGUAACGAAGAUGUCUUGUAUCUAGAUGACAAUUGUGUCUAUAGUUGAUAAGAAGCAUCAAUGAUGUAUCUGAGAAGUAUAGGUGGAAAUAUUUUUAAAAGGAAUUCAACAAUAUUGGAUACUUUCUUGGGAUGUUUGUGAAGUAUUAGACACGAUUUGGCAUCGGAUACUUGUCAGAUACCUAUACUUUGAUUUUUUUUUUUUUUAAGUAUUUGUGCUUCAUAGCUUACAAACCUAUAUGACUAUAUCCCUAAUAUAAUUGAUCCCUUUGUAUGGCAUCACAUUGAAAAUCGGUGUCUCCUCACAUGAGUAUAUUAAUACACAUGUCAUCCAUUAUGUUGAUAGAGAUAGAGGGUAUAAGAGAAAGGUAUACAAAGCAUAGCUAAUGUUUUAGUUAUGGUGCAAAAUAUUAAGGAGUCAAGUUGCUAUCUUGCAUGCAUUAUCACGAGCUUGCUCUUUGUAAUACUAUUUUUUUGGGCAUUGACAGUUGAUAUUUGUGUUCAGCAAUGGACAGCGCUCUCUUGUUGGAGAUCUUUUUGGCCUUCUCUCAGCCAUGUCAUAUGGUCUAUUUACUGGUUAGACAAUGUCUUAGCUGUUUCAUUCUGUAUUUCUUUUUUCGAGAUAAUCUAGAUGAAUAAUGACACAGCUUCAACAUUAAUUUUGCAGUUCUUCUUAAAAAGUUUUCUGGCGAAGAAGGUGAACGGGUUGACGUGCAAAAGCUGUUUGGAUAUAUUGGAUUGUUUACACUUGUAGCGCUAUGGUGGCUUAGUAAGUUUUUUUUACACACAAUGCUUUUGUAGUUACUUGCCAAACUCGACUUAUAUGAUCACAAUCCUUUUCAUUUGCUCCUCUAACUUAGUUUUUGUGUUUUCACACACUCAUCAACAACAUUUCAAUAGUUUUUUUAUAAUAAAUUGAUGCGCAUUAACCAGUGCCAACUUCGGUGGGCUAGUUUGGCUUCUUCAAAUAAAAUUGAUUCGCAUUAACUGAUUGCUAAUUUUCUUUUUUCUUUUUGCUCAGUCUGGCCAUUGUCGGCCUUAGGAAUUGAACCUAAGUUUGCGAUUCCGCACUCUGCCAAAAUGGAUGAAGUGGUUAUUGCAAAUGGACUUGUUGGAAGUGUUCUCUCAGACUACUUCUGGUACAUGAAAUAAAUUUGAAUAAUUUACAUGCGCACAGAGUUAUGCAAAUUCUAAAAUUCGAGUUUAUUUGAUCUACCACCCAGGGCACUCUGUGUCGUAUGGACAACUCCCCUUGUGGCCACUUUGGGCAUGUCACUCACCAUUCCUCUUGCUAUGAUGGCUGACAUGGUAAUCCAUGGUCGCCAUUAUUCUGCGUUAUACAUGCUUGGAUCAGCUCAGGUAUGGUUGUCACUAAAACUACAUGCAAUUUGAUGUUUUCUCAGCUUUCAGUUUGCAACAGUGGCCAAACGGAGGAUCAUUCUUUCAUUUUUUCCCAACAAAAAGCAUAAUAGUAGAAAUAAAAAAAAUCCUAUUUACCUCUUGGUGUUAAAUGUUUUGUUGGUUCCAUCGAUGUUAGGAUAAUUUAUAUAUGCAUUGUUGAUGUUUUGUUGGUUCCAUCGAUGUUCGGACCUAGGAUAACUUAUGUAGCACCAGCACUUCAUAUUGAAUGCAUGUUUGAUGUCAGACACAACACCAACGCAUGCGGUUUCACAUUCAAUCACUUUCAUUUUCUUUAAAUUAUUACUGGUAUCUAUGUGUCUGGUUGUAUCUUGUGCCCAGUGUCUGUUUCAACGAUUCAUAGGUUAAUACAAAUGUUUUAUGUGUUUAAUUCUAUUUGUUAUUUCUUCCUUUGACUUUAUACAUGCUAAUUCCCCUGUCAUCUAGUUAUAGUUAAUGAUUUACAAAGUGUCAAAGCCUAGGAAAUUUUGUCUAGAUUAGACCAAAUUGUCAACUGGCUGUUAACUCAUAUUUGAAGCUUCUAGUUAUCAAAAUAUUCAACGUUUUUUGUUGACAUGUUGAUGGAAUUGUUUUGGCAUUGUGUUUACAGGUAUUUGCUGGGUUUGUGAUAGCAAAUCUUUCAGAUUGGGCGACAAAGAGGUUGGGAUUAUAACACAUGAUGUUUUCUUGAUUAGUUUGGGGCAACACUUAUUCUUUUUUUGGUUGAUUAUAUUUCCACUACUCAGAUUGAGUGUCAUAGCAUGAGUCACACAAUAUGUUGAAAACCAAAACCAUGAUCUUGGUUUUUUUUUGUUGUUGUAAUUUUCAAGGAAAGCAACAAAAGAGUGUUGUUUCCAUGAUGUAUUUGUUCUGUGUAUAUGAUUUUCUUCUAUAGCGAGUUCUUCUUUGUUGUAAUCAUGUCCAAGAUGAGAGAUGCUAGCCAAUAAUGUAACCAAUCAUUGUUAUAUAAUUUGUAGCAACACGACUAAAUGUGUUCUUGAAUUGAACAAUUGAGAAUUUGACUUAGCAGUAUAGAAAGUAAGCGUUCCAUGAACAAAAAGCAAUUAUAAUGAUCCAAAGAUGAAUAUUGGCAAAAGGGUAUAAUGUACGGAACACAAAAAAUUGAAACAUGUUAAAUGAAUUUUUUUUUUUGUCAGGUAGUCUAGUGGUUAGAGUUCACAUUUUUUAAGGUGAAUAAGUGGGGUGUCUGGGGUUCAAACCCCGACCCAUGCAUAUAAUAAUGCAUGUCUCUGCCAACUAAGCUAUGCUCACGGGGACGUGUUAAAUGAACUUUAUCCCGAAAGAAGACAAAAAUUUAAAUAGGGCAGUUUCACAGGCCUUAUUGUAUCCAAUACGUGAAAGUAAACUUAUUCAUAAAUGAAAGAAAUUACUUUUAACUCAACAUUUCACAAAUACACAACUAACACUCCUUCGAGAAUGAAAUACUAUAAGUAAAAAUAUUUUUAUAUUUUUGAAAUGAAAUAAUGUAAGAAGUUAACAAUUUCUCUCAUAUUUAUUGAUAGUAUCUAAACUAAACUACUCCUCGUUUAAUUAAACUUUUUAUAUUUCAAAUGAUUUGAUUUAUUUAGUUAUGGAUAGUGAUGCUACUUUUUUUGGUGUUGUAUAGAUUAAAUGUGAUCAACUUUCUUUUCUAAUUCUUUCAAAAAAAAAAUAAACUUUCUUUUCUAAUAUAUAUAAUUUGGUCAUUGUUGCUUAUAAUUGAUUAUACAACUAUAGAACAUACAAACAAUAAAUAAGUUGCAGUAAUAGAGUGUAGAGUAGAGAAUAGUGCAGCCAGAUUUAUAUUGGUUCGGCUACCAACCAUUUUAUGGCGGACGUCCUACCUUCAAGGUCAAGUAACGUUAUUCCACUUGGUUACGAUCUGGUUAUAUCAAUGCACAACUUUGACGUCACUUAAAACUUGAUAUUUUAAAAGUAUUUAUUGAAUGAAGACAUCUUUUUAUAUUAACAUUUGUUUUUUAUACAUUAAUACAAAAUUAUGAUCAAAGUAGAAUUGCAUGUAAGAUAGAAUUCAUGACAAAUUUAUGUUAGAUUGAUCGAACUUCUUUAGCUUUAAAAUACUAUAUUACUAUUAUCAUAUUUUUAUCCAUAGCGAAGUGACAAACACCAUCUGAAAUUCACACACACAACGGUAAGAUUUAAAGUUCGAAUUCGAAUGAAAAUAUUCAACCCAACAAUAUUGAUAUUGGUAGUUGAGUUAGGUCUUACAAACAACUAUUUUUUUUUUAUAAGUCCUUUUUCACAUAUAUUAAGAAUAUAUUUUUAAACAACAUAUAUUUAAAAAAAUAUAGUGUGUAUAUAUAUAUAUAUAUUUUGUCAAUGUAUAUUUUGUAUAUGACUAUAAGUCUAUAACUUUUUUUUUUAAGGAAUAAGUCUAUAAUUAUUUGUCCCUACUCCUUUGUGUAUAAACAAACGUGACUAAUAUUAACGUUUCCUAUUCCAAAUAAAUAAUAGUUUUUUUUAGAAACCAACAUAAAUAAUAGUAAUAAUUAGAGAUAUAUUUAAAAUAAAAAUAAAAAAUGUAUGUAAAAAAUUUAUACUAAAACUUAUAUUUAAUUAAGUAUAGUUUUUUAAUAGGGUAUGUGUAUAUACAAAUACAAGGUAAUAUCGUGUAAAUUUAAGAGAUUUCCAUACCGUUUUCAUGAUUAAAAGUUUUUGAAAUACCAGUUCUUGAUUGUAGUCAACAGAAAGUAAAAUAGUACUAAUAGUUAUAACUUUUUUCUUUUUUGUUAAUAUUACUUUAUUUUUUUAUCCAUAGGAAUACUAAUAAUGAUAUACCAUUUACCUUUAUUUUAUUGUUUUGAUAAAAGUGCACAGUUACCUUCCUACAAAAUAAAAAAAAAUCUUUGAAAACUCUCUCUCUUGUACGUUUUGUUUGUUAGUAUCACUGUAGCAGUAACAGAGAGUUGAGGAUUUGCAUAAAUAUCAAUUGGAAUCGUGAACUGAUCAAUCUCAGCGAUGGAUACAUUACCAACAACAUCGUCGUCGAAGCGAGGUGGAGGAGGAGGAAGAUCAAAAAUCGUUCAAACAUCAAAACCUUCCCUCCUCUUAGCUUUCUUCUCUUGCGUCGCUUGGCUUUACGUCGCCGGCAGGUUCCGUAUUCCGAUCCGAUUCUCAUUCAUUUCAAUUCGAUUCAUCUUAAUUUCUGCUAUUUGUUUUCAAUUUUUUUUCAUCUGAAACACUAACGGAUUCGAUUAUAAUGAAAAAUGUGCUAGGUUAUGGCAAGAUGCUGAGAAUCGGAAUUUACUUGCUAGUCUUCUCAAAAAGAACUCAUCACAGGUUUUUUUUUUUUCCUUUUCUUUUCAGUUCUAAUUUUCAAAUUCAUUUUGUUUGAUAUCAGUUUAGUUGCUGAUUUUUAUGAUUGAAUUUUGAAAUCCAUAUUGUUUUCGCCUUUUCGGAUAUGAAGCACGGACACAACAACAUGUCGACACAAGCAAUAAUUUAGAUGCUGAUUUUUUUAUUUACAGUAGAGUAUUUAUGAUUUAUGAUCUCUAUUGCACUAACACUUUUGAUCGAAGGCAUGUUCGGUGUUGGACAUGUAUAAGUACUGUCCAACACCGAAACGAAAUUAAAUUUGAUUAAGUUAUUUUCUCAAAUUAUUAUCGGUGUUGACGUGUCUAUGUAUGUGUUAGUGCUUUAUAUAGUUUACGACUGAAUUUUGAAACUCAUGUUGUUUUUCGGUCUGCUAUUUUCAUUUUUAGUUUAUCAACUUAUGAUAUUGUGGUUUAUUUUUUGUUGCUAGAGGCCUAAGGUUCUUACGGUGGAAGAUAAGUUAAUGGUACUAGGGUGCAGGUAAUUGUGCUCUUUUUGUGUUAACUUAUUUUAUAUAUUUUUUUAGAUUCGGUUGAUUUGUCGUUUUUGGUGAUAUUUAGUUUGAUUUUGUUGGUGUUGUCAAUUGCAGAUCGCGUAAAAUAGUACUCACUUUGUUCCUUUUUAGUUGUCAUUUUAAGGCAUUUCAUACAUACCAAGACAACAAAAAUAUUGUUACUUUUGAUGACUAUUUAUCUUUUUUCUCUGUAAUAAUAAUCUUAAUCAUUUAUCAUCUCGUCAACAUCUAUUCCUAUCUCUCGGUAAAUAACUAUGGGUAUUAUUGACCAACCAAUAAAUAGGAAUGAAUAAUUUCUUCAAAUACAACAAUUAAAAAGGAAUAGAGAGUAGUUUGUUCAAAUUCCAUUGCACUACAUGAUAUAUUUGAUAUUUGACAACACUGGUUUUUAUGAUGUUGUUUUGUAAGGGAUUUAUGUGUAUGUUGUUUAUUAGGGAUCUGGAGAGGAGGAUUGUGGAAGCUGAGAUGGAAUUGUCGUUGGCCAAGAGCCAAGGGUACCUCAAAGGACAACGGCAGCAAACUGGUUCUUCUGACCGUAGGCUUCUUGCUGUUAUUGGAGUAUAUACUGGAUUUGGAAGCAAACUCAAAAGAAAUGUAUUCAGAGGGUCUUGGAUGCCUAGAGGUAUGUUUGGAAUUCGGUUGAAAUUCACUAGUUCAUGUAAAUUUCUGUGCUUCAGUCGUCUUUUUUUGGUUACGAAGGAGGUUUAAGACUUUGUCUGGUGAGAGGGAGGGUAGGCUAAAGUAGAGGCAAAUUGGCCUUGGUGAGACUUGAUCUUAGGUUCAAUGCUCAUUUGCUUGAUCUCUCCUGAUAUCAAUUAUGUUGGCUGAAAUGCAAACGUUGAUUAAUUGGAAUUUAAAUUUGGGAGUGACUUUAUGCCUCUUAAUUUGAAAUUGUGUGGGAUUUUCGCAUUUAUACUUUGAUUUUGAUGGUUUAUACUUUAUACUAUUAUAAAAAAUUUGGGAGUGACUUUCUUAGUUUCUUGAAGAUUUGGUUUUAAUUUAUACUUUGAUGGUUUAUUGCCAUUUUCAUGAUUUCUAGUUUUCUAUCUUUGCUUCCCUAGGAUAAGUUUUAAUAUUUUAUCUAGCAAAUGUUAAAGAUAUAAUGCGCCACAGGCAUUGUGUUAAAACGCCUUGAUAAUUUUGUAUUAUUAUUUUGUUUAUAUUUAGGUCAUAUUAUAUUGUACAUGUGUUUAAUGUAACUUUUUCAUCAUAGUACUGGUUUAGUGAGAUUUUUCAAAAAAAAUAAAAGUAUUGGUUUAGUAAGUCAUUGCUAGGUUUAAUAUAUUAGAUGUGUUUUUUUGAAUAAUGAGAACGUAAACAGUUGGUUUACCUCUAGUUUUUUGUGAUUCUCAAAGAAGGAAAUUUAAUUGAGUUGUUCAUAUUUAGGUCAUAGUAUAUUGUACAUGUGUUCAAUGCAACUUUUUCGUAAUAGUACCGGUUUAGUGAGAUUUUUCAAAAAAAAAAGUAUUGGUUUAGUAAGUCACAGCUAGAUUUGAUAUAUUGUAUAUGCUUUUUUGAAUAAUGAGAACGUAAACAGUUGGUUUACCUCUUGUUUUUUGUGUUUCUCUAAGAAGGAAAUUUAAUUGAGUUGUGCUGUUAUGAUUGCUUUGAACUAAGACUGAGAACCUAAUAUGAAGUUACACAAGAGACUCAAUGUUAACUUCAAAUUGACAUUUUUAUGCGUCUCGACUAGUACGCUGGGUUUGAUUCUGUUGAGUAUUAUUUGCAUGGUUAUCCUUUUAGGUCAGUUAUAUAUCACUGACAUUUUCUCUUCAAAUUUCUGGCAGGUGAUGCCUUGAAAAAACUUGAAGAAAGAGGAGUGGUCAUACGUUUUGUAAUUGGUCGGAGGUUUUUCCACGCACUUAUCCAUACUGGCUAUGAUAUUAAUACAUAUUUUCUUGAAAAUUUAAUGAUUAAUUAUCUGCAUUUUGAAUCUUAUUUUACCUUUAAAUUGUUAUUGACAGUCCUAAUCGAGGUGAUAGCUUGGAUCGCAAUAUUAAUGAGGAAAACCGCUCAACAAAAGAUUUCUUGAUUCUUGUAAGCAAAGUGUUUUGUGUAAUUUAAAUUAGCUCAAUCCUUUACCUUGGAUUGUGUGAGUAGACAGGAAGCACUGAAUUGUUUUUUAUAUUUGGCUUAUCAUAGAUGCUUAAAAUUUAGGAUAUUAACAGUUUAGGGUUAUCUAGUACAUGCAUAUGCAAGGUGAUAAUAUUUCCCCUCAUUUAAAACUUGCAUUAUUUCUUAAAUAUUUCAAUCUUAGGGAGACUUGAAGCAUUGGUGUGAUGGUUAAAUUAUUCUUUUUCUGGUGGAACUAAAGUUUUGAUGGGAUGGAGCAAAGGACAAUUAUUGAUCAUUGUGUUUAUCAAUGCUUUUGUAAAUGAAAUACUCAUUUGAGCAUGCUUCCAUGUCAUUGAACCUUGUUGAACAAGCUCAGUAUAGAGCUUGACCAUCUGUUUUUUUCGUAAUAGGAAAGUCACGAGGAAGCUCAAGAAGAGUUGCCUAAAAAAGCAAAAAUCUUCUUUAGUACGGCGGUUCAGAACUGGGAUGCUGAUUUUUAUGUGAAAGUUGAUGACAGUAUUGACAUUGAUCUCGGUAAUGAUGGUUUAAUAAUGAAUGCAUGUAUUUAGGAGAUUAUGUUGAACUAACUCUAAUAUAUCAUGUGAAAUUGAGUCUUAACUUUAUUCAUUGGCUUAACAGAGGGUUUAAUUGCUCUUCUUGACCGUCGACGUGGCCAGGAUGGUGCAUAUAUUGGAUGCAUGAAGUCAGGAGAUGUGAUAUCGGAAGAGUACUCUCCUUUAUCUGAACUAACGCUGAUAAUUUAUUUAUGAUAAAAGAUGUGUGGAAAUUUUUGCCAGUUUUUAUGUAGUGUAGAUGGUCCUAGAAGAUUUCUCUUUAAGCUGUUUGAAAUUGUUCAUUUUACUGUUUUGAACUUGUGUUGAAAUUUAUUCACAUUUAUCCAUUUUUGUGUUCAGAAUUAUUACCGUAGCUCUUUUUAAAAAAAAUAAUAUUCCGAAGUUGCCACAUCUGUGGAUGUCACCGAUUAUAUUAAUUUUCAUCCCAUCGAAUGUGUUAAUUAUCUUUAGGCAUGCUUCAUAUUUGCCAAGGAAAUUUGCAUUUCCUGGAGAAUGUGUUAAUUUCUAAUGAAUAAUGAAUGUUUUUAUUUUAAAUUGUUAAGUUCCUGUGCUUAAUCUUUUCUUCCUGAAUUACAAUUAUAUUUCUUUAUCGCUUGUUAUUUUCUCUUUCAUCGAAGUUACAAUAUCAUUUGUUUUAUAAAUAUUUUACAAGUUUGAUUUUUCAAUUGAGAUUUUUGGAUUCAAUUUAUAAGCUCCUUAUUUUGUUUUCAGGGGAAAGCUUUGGUAUGAACCUGAUUGGUGGAAAUUUGGGGAUGAAAAAUCGUAAGUAAUAUACCCUUUAGAUGAGAAAAGAUUUGGUGAUUUAUUUGUUUUUGUUUAUUCAGGAAUGAUCUUCAAUCUGCCUUAAUAUAUCUUAAAUUGAAACCAAUACAUUAUUCUUUGUCGUUUUAUCAUUGAAUUGAAUGGGUAAAUUAAUAAUCUUUGGUCUUCACUAUAUCUCACAUCAGUGCUAAGUACUAAUAACAAAAAUUGGAGGGAACGAUUAAUUUGUAACUUCAGCAUACUCAAUAAAUUCCUGUUAUAUGCUGUCAUCUCUUUGCCAAAUUUAUACUGUUUAAACACAUGUUCUGUAUUAUUACCUAAAUUGUUUUAAUCAUAUUGAUAAUUAAUGAAAACUGCGAUAGAAUUAUGCAUUUUCUUGCCUUCGCAUGCAAUCACCAAUUAAUGGAAUCAUCUGGUCUUUGAUUCAUAUAUGUCAUUAGUCAGUAGUGGUGUGAAAAACUGGAUAAUGCCAAAAACCAUAUGGGGUUUAAUGGAUUGCUUGAAGUGUUUCUUUGAUUGUUUAUUGUGAGUUUAAUAGCAUUCACCAUGGUAAAGAAGGAAAAUAGAACAACAAGUUGUAUGCAUAAAAUGAGAGUUGUUUUAUUUUUUCUAGUGUUGAUUUUAUUUUUAUUUUUUUUUGGAAUGGCCAGCGUUGAUCUUUAUUGCUUUAUUGUCUUUAGGUAUUUCCGACAUGCAUCUGGUUCGCUUGUUAUACUUUCGAAGAAUUUGGCACAGUACAUUAACAUAAACAGGUUAGUUCUCAAUGUCUUAUUUGCACAAGGAGGUUCUGUUUGUAGCAAUCUUUGCAAUUAACUUAGGCAGCUUUAGUUUUGUGGCAUGGCGGCCUCAAUUUAGCAUUUUGGAUGAUGCAGUGUGGCAUCUAGAUGUCCUAAUGUUCGGUUAAUUGAGAGUGAGGAAGGUUUGGAUAUUAAUCGGCUAUUGCAGUGUGCCAUAUUCUUGGCUGGUAUUAGAGUUGAAGCUACUUGAUUGUCUUUUUUUUUUUUUUUUUCUUUCGGUUAUAUGUUUUUAUUUCCAAGAAUAGGACACAACACCAUAAAAAUGCUAUUAAAAGUGAAAUCAAUUUAGAAGUUUAUCUAGAUAAUUCCAGAGUUGAGAGCUGGCAAGAGGUUCAGGUAGAGAACCUAUAGCCAGUCAGAUUGGUAUUCUUUCCUGUUUGAUUGAGAGAAAAAUCUUUUCCUUUUUAUAUUAUACAUGAUGUCAUUUUUACCAAGCACAAAUUAUUGCAUCUUCGGGUGGAUAUGAGGGAUUCAGGCAGUGAUGAUAUUAAAUGUUGCUUUUUGUUUAACUCUGCUUUCUCUUGGAUACUUUUAUUUUCUCUUCUAAUCCAGUAAUAUAUCUUGAUCUAUCCAAAAACAAAAUGUAGUGUAUCUUUGAAGACCUAUGCCUAUGAUGAUACAACAUUGGGAUCAUGGAUGAUGGGCGUCCAAUCAACAUAUAUAGACGACAGUCGGCUUUGCUGCAGUAGCAUCAGUAAAGGUAAUAUCCCAAUCCUCAUCACUACUUUAUGACCAUUGGAAUCUGUGGAAAAUGAAAAUGUAUUUGGGUAAGAUAAUGUAUCAAGAAAAAAAUACUUAAUGCGUCUUCGAUAUAUAUUGAAGAAAUUAUAGAUAUAUGCACCGUCAGAGUAAAGUUGAUAACUCACCAAUUUAUCAUAUAUUUUUAAAUAAAAAAUUCAAAAAGCAAGUAAUGUAAGUGUGUUGUUGCCUAAUUUACACUGAUUGUGCUUAUAUCUUUAUAUAUAUAGUAUAUGUAUUUGUUUUGCCCCUACCUAAGUUCACAAAAUUGAACUUGCCUUACUAGUGGUGUCCAAUUUUCAGAUAAGGUAUGCUCGCUGGCUUGAUUGGAUGAUCCACAUGUUUCACUACUUGUCUCGGAGUCUAAAGAUCAGUGUCAGUUGAAGAUUAUGUUUACUCUUUUUGAUCCAAUACAACAUUGAGAGCUUUGCAGACAACCAAUAUAAUUCCUUUUUAUACCUACAAUGAUCUGUUCAUUCUUUUAGAUGUCAAAAUAGCGAAAUUAUGGAAGAUACCCUGCAUUAUGGAAGUGCUAUGAUCAUAAGCCUCCUCUGUUAUUAUUGUUUUAUACAAAACUUCUGCUGAUGAUCAAAUAUUGAAGAGGACAAAAUUCAAAGAAAGCAUAAGCGUUUAAUAUAUUUUUCCGACAGCAAAUUAUAUUUUUCCGUUUUUCUUUUGCGGUGCUUUGCAUUCCCUAAAUUUUCAUAUUUUAGUCCCUAAUAAAAAUUGCCUUUUAUCAACCCGUAUCCCCAAGCUGACCUAUUGCUAAAAAAUUGUUGAUGCAUGAGUUGUUUAUCGAAGCAUUAUUUUUGUUAAUGGUUAGGAAUUGAACUCUGCACCUCAGGGCUAGAACCCGUUGAUGCCUUUUUUAUCUAACGAUAUAUAAGACUGAAAAUAAGAGUGAUUUGAAAAUUAGUUCAUUAAUCUGAUUCAUGAAUCAAAUAAGUUGAAUUUAAGCUUAAAAUUAGGGUUGAUAACUAAAUCAGUUGCACUUCAAUUAUAUGAAUAAUUUGAAAAUUAGUUCAUUGAAUCUGAUCAUGAAUCAAAUAAGUUGAAUUUAAGCUUAAAAUUAGGGUUGAUAACUAAAUCAGUUGCACUUCAAUUAUAUUGAAAAUUAGUUCAUUGAAUCUGAUUCAUGAAUCAAAUAAGUUGAAUUUAAACUUAAAAUUAGGGUUGAUAACUAAAUGAGUUGCACUUCAAUUAUAUUCCCUUCGGUCCUUACUAUGAAAAGAAAAACAAAAAAAACAUCAAAACUAAUGCAAUCAUUAACUAUUGCAACCUUUUAAUCACAUUUACACAUAUACACUUAUAGAAAAUUAUGAAACAUUAGAUACAUUUAAUAAUCCUUCAUUAUCAUGUGUAUGUAAAGUUUUCUCGUAAACUAUAUUAUAUUUUCAUUUGUUGAGAUUCAAAAUCAAAGUUAUUUAUUCCUUUGUUUGAUUCAAAGUCAAAGUUCUUUUAUGUACUUUUAUUUAUGUCACCUAAGCCUUGAAUGUUCUUGAUAAUGUUCAUAUAUUUAUGAGUUUGUUCUUGAUAAACCAUAUGAACAACCUUCUGAACUAUCUUCGAACUUUCUAAACUUUGACUAACCUUUUGAACUCUGACUGGGUUUAUAAGCUUUAAUGUUAUUUGAUUACUUGAUUCUUGGUCUGAUUUGUACUUUGUUCCUCUCUUAUUUAAUCACUCAAGCACACAUAUUAAAUACCAAGAAAUUAAUCAAACUUCAUUAAUCUUUUAAUCAUCGAGGGUUGUUUAUCUUUAAAAUAUUUUAGGGAUUUUGCCUCAACACACGUUAGUGCCUGGCUUUUCGUUAGUCUUUUUUAAAGGCUCUUUCUGCUAGCCUAUAUAUAUAUAUAUAUAUAUAUAUAUACAUUAAAAGGAUACAUAAUUUUACGAUGAUUUUAUUCGCUUUUAAUUAUAUCCAUAAACAAAUUUGUCUAAUGUUAUAUUGUUGAUAUCAUUGGAAAAUAUAAGAAUUUAUAUUAUAUUUGUUAUAUUGUUGAAGUGAUGGAGUCAUCAAAAAAGAUAAACAUAAUUUGUUACAAUUUGAAAGUCACAAACGUCUAUAUUAUAAUUUUAAUUAAAAUCACACACACUAAGCCUCCAUUAACUUUGAUAUUUUUUUAACAUCUUUUUUUUUUUAAGGGGCUAAAAUGAAUAUAUUACCACAACAAUCAGGCCUUCCUAGCACAAGGUGUGCUAAGGAAGAAACACCUGAGAACAAGCAAAAUGUCUGAAAGUAUUUACAAGGCUACCACCAAAAACCAGCAAAAAAAAAAAAAAACAAUCAAUUAGCCAAUGCCUAGAAUAGAAAACGGGCUAAGCCACCAACCAUGUUAAUUGAGGGGAAUACUGACAUGUUUCCCCUUCAACCACGUGAAAGUAAGUGACUUAAUUUUAUCCACCACCUGCGGAAUAGAACAAUUUUUGUCGUUGAAAAUCCUAUUGUUUCUUUCUUUCCAAAUUUCCCACACCGUUGCAAACCAAAUGACCUGUAAAAUGGAUCGCCUUGUCUUGGCCACAGCACCAAUAAAACCAAACUGAUAAAAGUGACCAGUAGCUUCGCCAGGCAAAACCGCGGACAGCCCAAGCCGCCUAAGAAUAUGAUACCAAAUAGAGCCAAACAUAGAACAAUGUAAUAAUAAGUGUGAAGAUGUUUCCACCUCCCCACACCCUCCAACACACAACUGAGCAUCAACGUCAAUUACUUGACGACGGUAGAGGUUGUCUUUAGUAGGGAGCCUGUUGCGGAAUAGACGCCAAGCAAAUAAAACCACCUUCAGAAGAACGUCCCUAUGCCACAGAGAAGAGACAUGCACCACAACAUCAACCGAAUCAUUAUCGUUUAAAAAUUUGUAAGCACUACGAACUGUGUAUACGGAGGAAGGUUCCAACCGCCACAUCCACCUGUCAACCCUGUCAAACUGCAAGGUAACCGUAAGAAGUAAAAUCCUAAGCUCCCCUAUCAGAUCCUCCUCCCACGCAAACAACCGACGCCUCCAACUCCAAGCCCCCCCCCCCCUGUCAAUCCCCCAACCUAACAAGUGCAUAUUAAAAACAGAUUGACUCUUUAACACUGACAACUCAUAUAAUCUAGUGAACCGUUCUCUAAUAGACAUUCCUCCCACCCACACAUCCGUCCAAAAGAGAGUAUUAUUACCAUCUCCCACAACCUGACUAACAUUACCAUCUCAGAGCGCAUGGCCGAAACAUCCCUCCACCAAACAGAGGCCUCUUGGCCACCCUCCUUUACUCGACCCUCCACCACACCGUAUCUAGCCGACAACACCCUAAACCACAAACUAUCUCUAUCCCCUAAUAAUCUCCAACACCACUUCCCUAGAAGAGCUAAAUUAAAAUCUCUAAUUCUCCUAACCCCCAAAACUCCAGCCUCCUGACUCCAUAAAUAGUUUACCAAUCAAUCCAAGAGAUUUUCCUGUGGUGUACACCUCCCUCCCGAAAAAAAAAAAAUUUUUUUUAUUAAAAAUAGAUUCAAUAGAGGAAAUGAUACCUGACGGAGCUUUGAAAAAAGAAAGAACAUAAACAGGCAACGAUGACAGAACCAGCCAGCCACCCAAAGAUAAAUAUCUCGAACUCCACCCUGACAAUCUAGUGUUUAUGCGCUUAAUAAGAGGUUCCCAAAAAUUCAAUCUACGCGCAUUACCACCAAUAGGCAACCCAAAGUACAUAAAAGGAAUAUAACCAACCUUGCAGUUCAAAACCAGUGCUGCUUCAGCUAACCAAGAGGCCAUAACGUUCACCACAACCAGAAGGCUCUUCGAAAAAUUCACCUUUAAACCAGACAAGUCUUGAAAAAGAAUAAGAGCUGCUCUCAUAGCCCGAAUAUUAGCCCACGAUUUUUUUAUAUAAAGUGCAAGGACUAAAACCAGACAAGUCUAACUAACAACAGGGACUAUUUUUUAUAUAAAGUGCAAGGACUAAAACCAAAAAAAAAAAAGUACAAGGAGCAAACCCAAAAAAUGAUGUAACUGCAGGGACUAAUGACAUAUUUAAGCAUAUUUGAUUAUAACUUUUUGGAAUAUAAUACAAUUGAAUAAAAAUUCAACUUAUACUGUUUCAAUUUAUAAUUAGAUUUAACCCAUUUUUUAAUUAACACUAUUAAAAAGAAAAAAUUGUAGUUAGAAUAAUUUAAAUGAAGAAAUAUAAUUGAAAGAUAAAAAGUCAUACCAAAAUUAUAUAUAUAUAUAUAUAAAUACUCCCUAUAUUCCUUUUUAAGUGUCUUAAGGUGAAUUUUUCGUUCCUAUUUAAUUGCCGUUUUGGUAUUUUAAGGGUACGAUUUAUCAAUUAUACCAUUUGUCAAUUACUCUUAUAUUUUUCAAUAAAACUAAUUAAUGUUAUAUAUUUGGAAAACUAAAGUUUUUAUUUUUUUUAAAACAAAAUUUGUUUCUUGUUAUCUUCAAAUUUAAACAAAUAUAGGUUGGUUUGAUAAUAAUGUUUCAACUUUCAACAAAUAUUUAAAUCUGGUAAAGGAGUAAUCUAAACAUUCAAAUCUAUGUCACACGGUGUGAAUCUCUAACAUUGGUUGAAGUCAUAGUUGAAGCCUUAAUUUUGAUUAAAGGAGUUGGAGGAAAGUUAUUUUUUUCUUAACUUUUGAUUAAUGUGAAGUUGAUAUAAUUUUGAUCUAGACUUGAAAUAAUUAAAGAGAUAUGCACAAUAUUUAGAAAAUUUAAAAUUGUUUGUUAUGAGAAAAAGAUAAAACGCGCAAAAAAAAUAGAAAUUUGUUGGAAAAAGAGAGUAGUAACUAACAAUUGUUUGUCAUAUUAAAUUUAUUUGAAAGAUCAAAUGUUUGCAAAAAAAAUAGGAAAUUAGUAGUGGAUUAAAAUGAGGGUAUAAUAGUAAAAAUAUGUACAAAAAUGCAGUUCGCUAUUUUUGUGUUCAAAUACUAAAACGACAAUAGAGGGAGUACCUUUUUGUAGUAAAAAAUGUAACCCUCUUUUAAGAUAUUUAAAUUGAGUGAAGAUUUUUUUUUUUUUAAAGAGUAAAUCUGAAGAAGAUAAUUGUGCUUUUUUUUGUCAAAUAUAUUUUAAUUUAGAUUUACCUUUUUUUUAUUUUAUUUUAAGAGUCAAUCGAUUUUAAAUAAGUUUCUUUUUAUUAAGAUUUGACUAGAUUAUUAUCUUUUAUAUAUGAUGAUAUGACUGCGAUUUUUGUUAUAUGGUUUGUUUUUAUGUUACUAUAAUUGCUGGUUAUAAAUACCUUGCGACAUCUUAAAUUAGGUUACAAACAGUUGUGAUAUUGCUCUGAGGAUUACACUAAAGUGUUUGUUUAUUUCGCGGGUUUUGGUUGACUUCCAAAACCUCUUUUUCUCAAUCAAGAUGUAUAACUUCAACGAGGAGGUUCUGCUGUUCUUCCUGUUACACUGUUUUACAGAAGAAGGUUUAAAGGAAACAGUACACACGUAUGUCUCUAUUUUUCUUCAACUUUGGCAAUUCCUAUAUUGAAUUUUCAAUGCUUUAUGUGAACAUGGUUAUUUGUUUUAUGUUUUGAAAAGUCAAAAACUAUUCAAACAAAAAGAUCUAUGCACCACUGAUUUACUAGAGAAUCAAUAGCUCUAACAUGUGUCGUUCAUGAUAGAAACUUUUUAGGGCAAUGAUAAGAGGGUUUUAGUGAAGUUUUCUCAAAGUUUUAGGAGAUAAAGCUUAAAAAACUACAACACACAUAUAUUUAUUUGUUCUAUCAUAUGAUCGAUUCUCGUAACACUUUUUAAUUUGGUUUUUUGUUGCUUUUGCAUUUUUUAUUUUUUUUUGUCUCUCUUUCUGUUUUAUUUUCCUUUUUUCUGAUUAAGUAGUGUAGGAGACUAGGUCGCUAAAGCUUUUGUGUUUUCUUUUAUUUUAAUCUGUUUUUUAACUUAUUGAAAAAGAAGAUAAAAAAGGUUUUUUUUAAAUUACCUUUGAAGAAUGGUGGGUAAUUUACCCACCAACCAAUGAAAAUGAGCAAUUUAUUUGUGGGGUCAAGAUAGUUCAUGAAUAUGUGCUUAUGUGGCUAAUGUGUAUUGGUUGGGGUAAAUUACCCAUCAUUCUUUCAUGGGUAGCCUAGUUGUCACCGAUAAAAAAAGAUAAAAAACAUCAAUAUAGUUUUUUUUGGCUUAACUUCACUUUUCGCCCUUUAAGUUUUAAAAUGUUGCGAUUUUAGCCCCCUAUUAAAAAAAAUUGCAAUUUUGGCCCCUUUUGUCCCAAAAUUGUUGAGAAACGCCACGUGUCCUAAAAAAAGGGUCAUAAUCACAACUUUUUUAAAAGAUAAGGGGUCAAAAGAGCAUAUUUCCUUAUGUUAGGCGGUCAAUAGAGCAUAUUUCCCUAAACAUAGGGAGUCACUUUUGCCAUUUUUUUUAAUAGGGGUCAAAAUCGCAAUAUUUUGAAACUUAGGGGGCGAAAAGUGUAGUUUAGCCUAAUUUUUUUUUUGUUUUGGACUCAAAUAUGGUUAUUUGUUUGACAAUUAUUUUUUUUACUUUAUUCUUUUGUUAAUUUAACAGGUUUGAGCGUGAAAGUGGGUUAUACUUUGACUUUAAAUAUUUUGAGGAGGUGGUACUUACAGGCCGGUGGGAUGAAGUUGAGAAAUAUCUUUCUGGAUUUACAAAAGUUGAAGACAAUAAUCAUUCAAUUAAAAUAUACUUUGAAUUGAGAAAACAAAGAUACUUCGAGGCUUUAGACAGGUAAUUAAGCAUUUUAUGGCCAAUAUAUAACGAAUAAUUUAUAGAAAUUUGAUGUGAAGUAAGCCGUUGAAUAUGCAUGUAUAUACACUUUUUUAUCUAAAACAUUAAUUUAUGUUAGAGUAGGUUGUUGAAGGUCAACCACGUUGAUCAUGUUAAUAGUAGUCCUUGUAUGAUUUAUAUUUCAAGGACUAAAAUUAUAUGGUCUAAAUAUUUAUAGACUAAUAUAAACAAAAGUAAAGAAGAUAAGCAAGGUAGUGGCUCUAAAAAUAUUCUUAAAAGAUCCAAGCUGUUUCCUUCCACGUACUUUUGCCAUGUAGUCUGCACAUUGUCUUCUCUAUAAAUAUGGACUAAUGAAACAACUCUGUUUCUAGACAUAAGCUCUUUGAUACUAUAUGUAGUCUCAACAUAUUUAUUAGGCUGAGAUGUUGAGUCUUGAAUCAAAGAUAUAGCCUCCAUACAAUCACUUCUGCAACUCACGUCUUGGUAGCCGAUUUCCCAAGCUAACAUUAAUCCAAAUAUUAUGCCCUAUUAGUUCAAAUUCUAAACUGUCAGCAAAAUUAAUGUGUCCACUAAAUCCUACGAUCCAUGAGCCGGUGUGAUCUCAAGUUAAACUUCCAUAAUCCGCACGAUCAGGAUUUCCGUAAGAGCUCUCGUCAACGUUUAAAGCCACUUGAUUCUCGUUAGGUGGAGGUCAAAGAACCAACUGCACCACGUAAAAUUAAUUAAUCAUAUGGUUAUUUGUUUGACGAUUAAUUUAUAGAAAUUUCAUGCGAAGUAAGCCGUUGAAUAAAAUUAUAUUUCAAGGACUAAAAUUAUAUGGUCUACAUAUUUAUAGAAUAAUUAAUAUAAACAAAUAUUACGAUAAAUAAAACAAAUCCACAAGGAUGAAAGCAAAGUUUUCUAUGUUUCUAUUUUGUUUCAGAGUUUCCUAUGUUUCUAGUUCUAAUAUUAUAUUAUGUUUUUUGUUAAAAAUCGUAAUAAUUUUUUUCUUAUUCUAAUUUUUGUUGUCUUGUUUCAUCAGCAACGAUCAAAGCAAGGCUAUAGAAAUCCUUACGAAGGAUCUAAAAGUCUUCCGUUCAAGAAAUGAGGAAGUAUUUAAAGAAUUGACUCAAUUAUUGACAUAUAACAACAUAAGGUAUAUUCAAUAUUUGUCUUGUUGGGGUAUGGUAGUUUGAAUUGAAUUCUUCAUUAUGUGUCUAACUGUUUUUCUUGAACCUGAUUAGGGAACAUGAAUUACUUUCAACAUAUCAAGAUGCAAUUUCUUCAAGAAAGAUUGUGAUGAAUGAAAUUAAGGAAAUCAUAGAGCAACAUCCUAUGCUCAAAGGAAAAUUGAAAUUUCCUGAUAUUGAUUGUCAGAGGCUAAAGCAUCUUCUAAAUGCAAGGUUCCACACUUACUUCCUUAAUUUAUAGUAGUUGACAUGCAUGCAAUGCACCAUAUUUUCUUAGUGCAUUGUCUAACACCCUAAAACCCCGACUUUAUUUAAUAAAUAAAUAAAAAUUAUUAAUCAUACAAGUGCUACAUAUAUUCAGCAGUUCACCAAUUUAUAAAACAAAGAUUAUAAUUAAAUAAAUAAAAUUUGGGGUGUUACACAUUGUAUUAGAAUUAAUAAAUAUAUUUUUUAUGAAAUAAGUUUUUUACUACUAUACAUUUUAUUAAGUAGUUCAUUUCAGCUUCAUGUAGAAAUUUUAUUUAUUAAUUGUUCAAUUUGUUAGCUUAAAUUGGCAGCAUCAAAAUAAUGCUCCAGCUUCUCCAGAACAUGGCCUCUUUAUGAAUCAUGUCAAUCAUUUCAUACCAUCUACUGCUGCUGCAAUAAAUCAAGGUAUUAAUUUGAUAAUUUCUCAUAAAAAAUUGGUACCCCGUAAAUUUUGCAACCUAACCUUGUGAUGUAAUUUACCUUAAUGCAGGAACAGCUUUGAAUAAUCUUGGGGUACCUAGUGAGGUCAGUUGGAUAAAAUAUUGAUUUAACCUAUGUUCUUUUAUAAUUCAAAAUAAUAUUUUACUUGUUUUAGGUUUGACAAGGUUUUUUUUUUGUAUAUUAUUAAGAUUUUUGUAUGAAAGUUUAUAAAUGUAUUUUAAUUUAUUUUGGUUAUACUAACUAUCAUUGUUUUAAAUUGUACUUGGCAACACAUUAAAGAUUUGGACGUCUCCCCAACUCAAUCUAGACCGCAUUGCUGCAUUCGUCAACAAUCACAAUGUAAUUGCAAACCCUAUUUUAAAUCUUUUUAUAAUUUUCAGUGAUUUUAUUAUUAUUAUUAUUUUUAACGGUAAAAUUUAUUAAUAAUCAAGUCCUUUGUACAAAACGAACAAGGACUGGUAAGACAAACUACAAAGCAAAGGGCAUCUAAUAUAGGCGGAACACCUAAAAAAGAAAAUGUCUACACCGUACAUCUUAAACACCAAUAAAAUAUAAACUUCCAAAACCAAAUCAACAAUAAAAUCAAGCUAAUCCCUUUGUUCAAAAAAAAAAAAAAUCAAGCUAAUCCCCCACAAAACCAACAUAAACCAAAAGUUGCGCCAAAAUUUCACACUCCAUUGUGAAGGGCCACAUAAACAAAAUCCAAACACUCAUCACCUACUACUCACACCAAAGCUACUCCAAAAAACCAUUACACCCACUAAAACCCCCCUAACAACAGCACAUCACCUUCUCAUCACCAGAAACAUCACCUCACCUUCUCAUCACCUGAGCUGAGCCAAAUUCCCACACUCGUUCAUAUUUCACCAUCAAUCAAUCCUCGGUAUGUCAGAGAAGAUACCAAAACAAGCCAAACAACUUGAGUCAAGAAAUUGACUCUCAAUCUCGAAUCAAAAGCGAUUUUAUUGUUCUUUUGAACAUUCUUUUUAUCCAUAAAUAUGUUAGAUAUUAAUAGCCUACUUAGAUGAUUAGUGAAAGUUUUAGCUUAAGUCUUGACAGAUUACAUGGAAUACGAGUAAUCAAGGCCUUUGCAUCUAAUACUUGUAUCAUUGUGAAGAAUGAAUGAAACACUUCUUACAUCUCAUUCUCACUGAAUGUACUAGUGUUUUUGUUUUAUCUAAAUGUAGUGUUAUAUCCGUGAGAAUCGGAAGGUUAAAAAAAAAUAGUGUUGUAUGGUACCUUGAUAGACAAAUAUUUGGCUGUUUGACAUUUCGUUUACAUAUUAUUAUGUUUUUACAAUGCUAGAAACUUCUUAUGCUAACUUUUUUUCUGUUUUCUUUUAGAGUGGUAAAAAUUUGGAGGACCUGCAACCUGAUUUAAUUGAAAAAUCCCACAAAAUAUCAGAAAGUGUAUUUCAGAUUUGUACACCAUCUCAAUGCCAUAUGUUGCUACUUCCUAAACAGCCCGAAGAAAACAAGGUAUGACAUUUAUAUGAUUAAAUUGAUAUUAUUGGUUUUUUACAUCAUUAACUCAAGACAAAAACAUAUCAUUAGCAAUAAAAAAAUAUCUUGAUCCUUUUAUUCUUGCAAUAAAAAAAAACUUAUCUUGAUCAUUUUAUUCUUUAAUGUGUGUCUUAUAAGUAAGAUAUUUGAUUAAGUAGCAUCUUGAGAUUACAAUUUUUUGUUGUCAAGUCGCUUAGUGGCUAGAUUCACACAUAUUAUGUGUGGAGAAGUGAGGAAUCCGGUGUUUAAACCCCGACCCCUAUCUAUAAUGUGUUCUACCAACUGAGCUAUUUUUUCGUGGUAUAAUAGUGAAAUAUAAUUAGAUACUUUAUUAAAAAAAAGUACGCUAUCAAUUGAUAACUUUUCGUUAAGCAGAUCGUUAGACUCGCUUACACAAAUUCGGGAAAUGGCAUUUUGGCAUUGACAUCAAAUGGUAAUCAUCUACUUUGGUUAUGGACACAUACUAGCAUUGAUAUGGGAGCCAAGGUAAUAUUCCCUUUCCUUUGAUAUAAUAAAAUUUGGAAAUUGAUCUUAUUUCACUUUCUUAUUUCUCAUGAAAAUAAAAUUUGGAAAUUGAUUUUGCUAUAAUAUAUAAACUAUUGCUUGUAGGCAACAGCACAAGUUCAUCCUCAAUUGGCCAAAAAUGGUUUGGAAUUCAUGAGCAAUGACCUUACAAAUGCCAAUCGUGAAGAUUUAGUUUCUUGUUUUGCUAUAUCAAAAGCAGAUUCUUAUCUCUUAUCAACCUCAGGAGGGUUGGUUUCUUUGUUCAAUAUGGUAUCAUUUAAGGUAAUCUUAAAGAUAGAGUCCUAAAUGUUAUUAUUUCUUUUAUUUCUUAAAUUUAUAAAUUAUUUUAAUUGUUGGAGUUCCUCUACAACGAUUGCACAAUGUAGCGGCCUUAUGCAAAGACAUUAGAUUCAAAGAGGGAAAAAAAAAAUAUUUUCUAUAUGAAUCUAGCAUACUGCAUCGUGCAACCGUUGUAGAGAACUCAUACACGUUUUUUAAUUUCACGUUUCUUAUAGUUCUCUUUUAUUUUCGGUUUACAAAUAUAUAAGUCAUUUAAUAUCUUGGUCCAAAUUAAUAUGAUUUAACUAAUCAUGUCACACAUUAUAUAAUAAUUGCAGACUCUAGUAACUUUCAUGCCACCUCCACCAAUGGUAACAAGUCUUGCCUUCUAUCCUAAAGAUAAUAAUACUUUUCUUAUUGGCUUGGAUGACUCCAGUAUACGUGUAUACAAUAUUCACAAGCAUGAUGAGGUAUAUAUCUUUCUUCAUUCAAUAAAGACAUUCAUUAUAAUUACAUGUUUUAAAGGAUAAUUAAACUAAUUAACUUCAUGUAUCAUUCAUUUAUGUUAGGUUCAAAAGCUUGAGGGUCAUUCUAAACGAGUUUCUGCUCUUGCCUUCUCAAAUACUUUGAAUAUACUUGUUUCUGCUGAUGCAAGCCCUCAGGUUAGUAUUUAAAUUCCUCCCCCACCCCCCAUUUUUUGUCGAAACUAGCAAUGACACGUCAUCAAAUGUAAUUCCACAUCAUUAAAAAAGGGCAGUCUGGUGCACUAAAGCAUUACAAGAAAAUGGUGUUUUAGAUUCAGCAGAAAUAUGGAUGCUAAAAGGCAAAUUGUGGAUGCUAACAGUCUUUUAGAGUCAGUAUAGGGUCCAAAAAAUUGACGACAAUAAAAGCUUGGAUGCUAAUUUUUUUUGGAUUCUAAUUUUUUUUUUGUUAUGUGCAGAUUAUUGUAUGGGAUAGCAGUAGCUGGGAAAAAUUGAGAGAAAGAAACUUGCAAAUAGAUGGACCAAAUGUGCCACAAAUGUUUUCUGAAACUCACAUUCAAUUUCACCCUGAUCAGCAAAAUUUUCUUUUUGUACAUAAAAUUCAUCUUGCAAUUUAUGAAGCAACAGAACUAAAAUGUGUCAACCAGUGGGAUUCAAAUUUUCCAACAGUUAUCUGCCAAGCAACAUUCUCAUCUAAUGGUCAAAUGGUGUAUGCUUGUUUUCUUGAUGGGAAUUUGGCAAUAUUUGAUGCAUCAAAUUUUCAAAUGCAUUAUAACAUUCAGCCUUCUGUUUACCACCUUUCAUCAAUUCCCAGGUACUUUUUUUUUUUCUUCUUGGCUGUAAUUUCAGGGUUUGCAAUAACUAAUUGUUAGUUUGAUUUUUAUUAUUUUUAUUUGCCUGUCUCCUGAGAGGUCACUUGGUUGCAGACUCGUUCUUGCACCUUGAGGUACUCGGUUUUGAGACUCGGGCACCAAGAGUUUGAAAAUUUUAGUUUUAGCUUUUAGCUUUGAAUUAUAAUCACAAAUUCAUGAUUUAAUUAUACAAGUAGAAUAAUAACUCUUAAAAGCUUUUGGAUUAAUAUUUAUUCCUUACAUAUGUAACUUUGACACUCAAUCUAAUUUUUUUUUUUAUUUGAUUGUUGCAGUGUGAAAAUCUACCCAACUGUUUUAGCUGCACAUCCACAGAAACCAAACCAAUUUGCAGUAGGGUUAACCGAUGGUUGUGUUUAUGUGUUUGAGCCAAAGGAACCAUGUGGUAAUUGGAUCAUGUCUCAAGUUGAUAAGGAAAAAGCUAACAGCAUAGGGAGUCAAGGUUGAGAUGGAUUGGCGAAACACAUCCUCCGAUCAUUAUGAUAAGAAAAAAAAUCACAUUUUAGGAUUAUUGAAUAACCGAUGCAUAUGAUAUCUAACUCUUUUUAGGCUUUUGUCGUACAAUAAUUCAUAUUCUAAUGUUAGUUAGUUAGUUUAGUUAAUUAAGGCUCUAUUUGGAUUGAUGUAAUUUAAGAGAACGGAACGGGAUGAAACGGAGCGGAAUGAAACAUAGAUUCCAUUCCAUUGUUUGGAUGCUUUAUGAUGGAAUUGAACAAAUUUCUCAAACCAUUAUUUGGAAAGUAGACGGAAUGAAAUGAGUUAUAAUCUUUUAUUCCAUUUUUACCCUUAUUUAAAAAGUAUUAUUAUUUAGAAUUAAUAAAUAUUAUCUUUUAUUAAAUAAAAGACCUUGUUUGAAAAGUAGAGCAUGAUUUAUUUGAUAUUCAUGUUCUAAUCUCAUUCAUUGUUUUAAAAAUAAUGUAAAUAAAUAUGCAGAUACAACAUUGAAUAUAAAUUAUUGUUUUUAUUCUGUGUAAUCUUAUACUUGUACGUUAUUUAAUACAUAUCGAUACAUCCUUUCAAAAAAAAAUACAUAUCGAUAUAUAUAAAUUAUCAAGCAUGAUGCUUGUACAGAUGGGAGAAGGUACACAAAGACGAUAAACAUACAGAUGAAAUGAAGAAUAAAGAAAUAACGGAAUAAUAUAAUUGGGAAGGUAACAAAAGAGGUAAAUUCUAUGGUACAUCUACUAUAUAUAACCACCCGCACUUUUGCGCUGGUUUUUUAUUUUUCAAAAAUAUCUUCAAUUUUUUUUCAAUACAAAUAGAUAAGAAUAAAUUUAAAUAUUAAAACAAAUGUGACAAACAAGAUAAGAAUAAAUAUAUAUCUGAUUUUUUUUGCUUUAUCAUUUUAAAAGUGUAACAAACUAGAUGAGUAUAUAUGUACUUAUUUUUUUAUUUUCCAAUUAUACCCUUAAACAAUUUUUUUUAUACAGUAAAGAUUGUUGUUGGUGUUGUUAAAAAAAAUUAUAUUAUAUUUUUUUUGUUAUAUUGUUAUGUCGUUAGAUAAUCAUGGUUAGUUUAGUAUUUAUAUUUUUACUUUUAAUCAAAAUUAAAAUUUCAUAAAAAACAUAAUUAGCAAGCGCCCGUCUUUUCGCUAGUAUAAAUAAAAUGGAAAAUUCCAUUCUACACCACAAAAUUCGUGUGUGGUUGUACAUCAAAUACUUAAAUUAAUAGUUAAAUAUGUUGUUUGUUGAAGAAAAAAUUAUUUUUUGUCAUUUUUUUUGUGGUGGUUGGGGUUCGAACCUCAGACCUUGCAUAUUAUUAUGCAUUGUCCAUACUACAAUUUACCAAAAAUGUUGAUGUAAUAAAAUUAUUUUUUUUAUUUUAUUACUCAUAAUAGAGAAUAUUGAUUAUUUUUUACGAUAAAUGUAAAAUAUUUAGUAUGAUUCUUAUAAAUCAUGAAAUGAUAUUUUCUAAGAUAUAAAUGUCGACAAAUAUAGCUCUUUAUUUCAUAAAAAUGAUCGUUAAUUUAUAUAUUUUGGAAGUAAGAGCAUUGGUACACCUUAAUUUGUGAGUUUGUAGAAAUUUCCAAAUAAAAUACAUGAUUUUUGGGUGACUUUUUCACUUUCAAUUAUAUCAUUAAACAUAUUUUGCCUAUAAAAUUGAUAUAUUGUCGAUGACAUGUAAAAAAAUAAGAAUUAAUAUUAUAUUUGUUAUAUUGUUGAUGUUUGAAAAAGAUAAAUAUAAUUUAUUAUAUUUUUUUUACAGAAGUUUGUUAUAAUUUGAAAGUCACGUGUAUCUAUACUUACAGUUUUAAUUAAAAUUUAUAAAAAAAAUAUGUUCAUAACUUAUACACUUUAGCAUAAUUAAAAAAAGGAACACUUGAACACAAGUUAUAUCUAUACUUUUAUAUUAUAUUAUAUUAUAUAUAUUAAAAAAAAACUACCCUUUUUCAGCAUUUUUUGGUUGGAUUUUUCAUUCUAAAAAUACCCUUAAUUUUCAAAACAAAUAACACAUGUAACAAAUAGAUAAGAAUAAAUUUAAAUAUUAAAACAAAUGUAACAAAUAUGAUAUGAAAUUUUUUUUCUUUAUCAUUUAAAAAGUGUAACAAAUUAGAUGAAUAUAUUUAUACUUACUUUUUCAUCAUUCCAAUUAUACCCUUAAACAACUUUUUCUAUAAUAAAAUUGUUAUUGGUGUCAUUAAAAAAAGAAUUUAGAUUAUAUUUUUUUUUUGUUAUAUUGUGUUAUUGUCGGUGUCGUUGAAAUAGAUAAUCAUGGUUUGUUUGAUUUUUUAUAACUUGAAAGCAACAAACAUUUAUAUUUUUUUAGUUUUAAUCAAAAUUAAAAUUUCAUUAAAAAAAACAUUGUUCAUAAUUUUCAAACGUUAUCGCAAUAAAAAGAGUGGAAAGACAUGCACUCAAGUGCCUGUCUUUCCGCUAGUAUAAGAUAAAUAAAGUCAUAUCAGACAUGUUCACAAAUCCUAACUCAAUUGACAAAAAUAUUGAAGGUUUUAGGCCGAAUAUUGUGAUCACAGUUUGAACCCCAACUCUCCACUUUUCUGAGUUUCCAAAACAAUGUAUAUUCAUUCGUUUGUGUUUACUAUAAUUAUUUUAUUGAAAGUGAUUAACACUCAAUACUUUAUGAAAGAAAUAUCACUCACUUAUUAGUUAAGAAAUAUUUUGUGCCGUUUUUCUUGACCUCAACAACAUGAAAGCCUUCGAAAGAACUUGUAAACUCAAAUUUUGACUCAAGAACAUUUGUUGAGAGAAAAUAUUGAUUCUCAUUUUAUGAUUUAAUGAAAGAGUUAACCGAGUUCCAUACAAAUAUCACUGAGCUUUUCAAUAUGUUGAGUUCACCAAAGUAUUGAGCUCGACUUGAAAUAGCCAAUAGUACUAAUUUAAUAAUAUGCAUAUUUUUUAAACUUCUAUGCCAUAAAUAUCUCUAAGAUGUAAAAGAUGCUUGAUAUAAAAGUUAAUUUUUUUUCUCAACUUAUAAUCUGUAAAAACUUUGAUAAAAUAAAAUCAAGACCAUCAAGACAUUACAUUAUUACGCGGAUAACACCACAAGAACCAACACCUUCAUCGCCAUAACUAACACAACUUCAACAACAAAGCUGUCUAAAGUGAAAAGUAAAGAUUUAAUGGUUACAAUUGCAAACAUGACAUGAUCAAAUCAUAUAUUCAAAGUCACAACUUUUCAAGCAUGUUAGGUUGGAACAACAACUGGGAGUGUAACGGAAUUUCAUUAUUUGACAACUUGACAGUCUAAAGGUGAGUUAAAUAUUUUAGUGACAAUAAUCUACAAACAAGGAGCAUAAUGUCCAUUUGUUCGAAGCUUAAAUAUAAAUAGUCAAUUUAAAAGGAAAUCAAAUUCUCAACGCCCCAUUGAAGAAGGUAAUAUCAUCAACUAGAGCUUGAAUCGUCAACCUUUGCUGCUGCAGAUGCAUAACUAACACUACUAUCCCGUGUACUAUGGCAUUGACUAGACUGCUCGUAGCGAAGAAAUUUGACUUUUAUCUUUGAUGAGCAGUUCAUCAGCAUCUGAUAAAUUUGCAAAAUGUUGAAAGUAAAUAUGAUAACAGCAUAAAAUAGAAAAACUAAUUUAAUGUGGUAAGCUGCAACAAAUAUGGAUCAGAAACACCACGUGAGGAUAUAUGCCCUUCACUAUUUUAUAAAGAAACUCAAAAAAUUUAAGAUACGGUUUCAGAUGACAAUACAUUUAGCUCAAAGCAUAAUAUUGACAACAAUACAAUAGUAAUAUUAUUUUGUGUUGAAACUGAGCUGGUUCAAGUGUUUCCUAAUUCCCAUUAUAAAUGCUACUUGCUAGAACAUCCUUAAAUCUUGACAACAAUGAAUGAGGACUCCAUUAAAAACUUUUAAACUUUAAGGAUCAAACUGAAAAUUCAAUAAAAUUAAGGACCUUAACGGUAUAAUUUGACAUAAAUUAUAAUCUGACCUAAAUUAUAAGAAAACAUGAUUUUUGAGCUAAAUUAUAAGAAAAAGUGAUUUUAUAACAAUAUCAACAACACAAUGCAAUAAUUCUACAUCCAUGAAAAUUUAUAAGAAACUUACAUGGAGAAAAACACUAAUUGGAUGGCGUCCACAGAUUGUAUUGUCAAAUUCUGACAGAUAUUUUUUGAAUGAAUCAGGGUCUCCAGUUUCGAUGAUAUCCAUGCCCAUCUUGUCCAGGGCCUCAAUGGACUUGUAAAUAGGCCCGUGUUUUUUGUCAUAGUGCAUGUAAUUGAAUCUGACAUAAAAUACCAGUCACAAAUCACACGAUCAAGACAAGCUUCAAACUGUUGAUGGAUAUGAGAUAUCCAUCAGAAUACAUAGACACGGACAAUAGAAAAGAUAGUGUACUAUAAAUAUUGCCAAUGAACAGUCACCACUGGAGCAUAUCUUAACAAAAAAUCAUAAUAACGUUAGUAUAUUAUUUGAAGUUUAGAAAACAUCAAGCAUCUAACAAGUAAUAUCAAGUAAAUAAACCAUAGAAAACAUAACUGGUUUCUAAAUGUUUGCUUUGUGUGUUAUUGUGGUUUUUUAGCAUUUCAGACAAAAGUUGCAAAUUGCAAGAGUAUACAAGAAAGAAAUAAGGUAGUUCAACAUGUAAGAAAAAAGUACAUACCGAGAUCCCCAGUGACAAAAAUCAGAUGAAAUGGAGAAGAAAUUAGUGGGAUCGUCGACAAAUUGAGCAAGAAUCUGUCCAUACAUAGCUUCAUUCUCAGCACUAACUGCACCGACUAAAAUGGGUACAAUUUUCACCGGGUGCCUGCGCCAAUAUUCAAACUCAGUCUCUGGCAAGUUUCAAGAACUGGAACCCUUUAAUUAUAAUAAAACUUACCCUUCAAAUACUUUAGCAAGAUAUGGCAAGUGCAUUUCCAUGCUAUGUUCAGCUUCAUCAACUCGAAUAUCCAUCGUUUCAAAUUUUCCCGUCGCUUUAAGCUGCUCAUUUACUGGUAAAACAAUGGAAAAUUAAAUGUGAAUGAGUAAAGACAGAAGCCAAUAUUGAAGUCAAACAAAAUGAAUCAGUUCUCAAUAAAUCAGUUCAAAUAGGAAAUUGCUUUGUAGUGUGAUACCUUUUCAACGAAAAACAACGAACAUGUACAAAUUACCUUAUAUUUUUUGAGGUUGCCAGUUUUGUACUCCAAAUAUUUUUAAAAUUACCACACUACCCAUGUUGGCAAGCGGUUCGUCGGUUUUCAUCAAACUUAUUUUGCACUGUUUAGCAGUGCUCGUUCAAAUAAUUUACACAUAUCCAUAGCUCAGAUAGAAGACUAUUGAUUGUAAUUAUAAUGAUCAAAUACUUUUUCUUCAUUACUUCAUAUAGUUUCCUAAUAUCCUUUUCCUGAGAGAUCCUCUCUUGAACAUAAAUAUGUAGAACUAUAGUAUAAUUUCAAUUUUCAAUACAACAAUUCAUAUUCAUAUAUCAUAUAUCAUACAAUUAUCACUACCUUCCAAAUCAAUAGGCAGGUCCCCAAUGGGUGUCUUGUAGACUGUUGCAGUUGAUAGAGCACAUUUUGGGGUGUAAUAGUGGUGAGAAGGACCAAGUAGGAAAACACGUUUGCUGAAAUCACAAAAUCAAAAUAAAAAAUAGCAAUAUCAGCAACAACAACAACAAUCUACAAGUUACCAGGCAACAAGUCAGAAGACGGACAAGAAAUGAACUUACAUGUUAGAUGGAUCAAUGUUUCCAAAGGCAUAGGCAGCAGCACGUCCUGAAUACGAAUAACCUGCAUGUCUAACACAACACAAACAUUUUCCAGUGCAUCGCAAACACAUUAGCAUUGUUUCUCUAAUCAUAAAUAAAUAAAUAAAGCAAAUUGAACUCCUCUAAAACUUGGAAUCCAAAAGGAUAUUUGAAAAAACAACAUCAGAGCCUUAAGUUUUCAAUCAAGGGUUACAUUAAAAGUCUAAUACAUUCACUUACGGUGCUAUUACUCCACGCACAUCAGAAGACUUGGUUAAACCACAUGAAUUCAGCCAUCCUUCCAGUUCUUCUGAAAGCUGCUUAGCUGAAAAAUAUAAAUUAAUAAAAACAUCAGACAGAGAUAUCAAAUUGAAAUUUUGCUGGUCACCAAGGUUUUAACAAUCUUCAAUACUAUAGAGAAUCAAAGUCAAAUGCAACCACUAUCGCAGUCGCACAAAUUGGGGGCAAUCUUUGAUACUAUCAGUAAUCACAGUCAAAUGCAGCUAAUGCAACCAGAAUUUGUAUCGCAAGUUGGGAUUGAGAACUUCAAUUUCCUCAAAGCUUCGUAGUUCUUGAAAAUGUUUCAACCCAUCAAAUCAUAUAUACGUUAUUGAAAAUUAAACCAUAUAUUAACAAAAAAAAACAGGGCUUUAAUUAUAAUUCUGCGACUACAAUCUAUGUCGCGACAUAAGAGUGUUUAAUCCUACUGAAAUCUCAAUGCAAUUGAGUUCAUAUUUAACUGUGAUUCUCUGCAAUAUCAAGAAUCACAUUAAGCCGCAAUUAUUUUAUUAAAAUAAAAAAAUAAAAAUAAAUAAAUAAAAAAAACUAACUUUAACCACCCCCAAUAUAAAUAAAAACUAAAAAUUCAAACUUUAACUAUCACAAUUGAAAUAUUGAUCAGAAAAAUUAAACUAAAAAUUCCUUAAAUGAAAAUAAAUGGAUGGUUGAUUGAAGAAACUUACGAUUGUCGGUGUACCAAGAACCAGCAUGCGAUGGUUUUCGGACUUUGGUGACCAUGGCGAAAGAGGAUUUGAGUUUUUGAUAAAACCCUAAAAUUAAAAUAAAGAAGAAGAACGAGUUUUUGAUUUAGUUUCUCUGACACGCUCCACGAUUCUUUCUCUUUUCAGUUAACUUACUUACUACAACAAAGUUAGUGCAAUCUCUUUCAUUAUUACACUUUCUCUUUGCGUCUUGUGUUGCUUUUAAUACUAGAACUAGAAAAAACAAGGACGAUAACACUUUACGCAAAUCCCAUGUUUUAUUUUGGGAAUAAAAUUCAUCAAGAAAAUACUAGGUAAAUUUGAUGAGGGAGUUGUAUUUUUCAUAUCAUAUAAAGGAAAUUAGCUGCUAAAAUAAAUACUUCAUCCGUUUUAAAUUGAAUAUCGUUUAAGGUUUUAAUACAUAUAUUAAAAAAAUACAAUGAUUGAAAGAAAGAAAAAUUUUAUUUUAUCAAAUUAUUCUUCUUAAUUAUUGGUUUGUUUUUCAAUAAAGUAAAAAUAAUAUUUCAGGAGUAGUGUACAUAGAAUUAAUGGGAUGGCACGAUUGAAAAAACUUAUUAUUGUAUUAGAAACCAAAAAUAGCAUUCAUUUUAAAACUUUUUUUUUGCUAAAGUGACGCUUUUUUUAAAAUAAAGGGAGUAACAAAGCUUAUUAUUUUUUUCGCUAAUUGAAUUUUAUCAUGAUUUUAAAUUUGAAUCAAAUCAAAUCGGUUUAAUUUAAUUUUUCCAUCAAAACUUAUUUAAUAAUUAAAUAAUUCUAACAAAUCAAAUUUGAGUUAGUGUGCGUUUAGUUUCUUUUGUUCCAACUUCAAGUAUGUCAUACUAUGUUCUUAGGUAUUGUCAGUUUUAGGUCAUUGAAUGAACCUUCAUGGUUUUGUCAUUUAUUAUAAAAAGGCAUCUUUGAGCCGAGGAGUAUGGGUGUUGUAUAAUCUGAAUUGUUUGAAAAAAGAAUUACACGAUCCGAGUACUUUGUAUUUUUUUAUUUUUUUUUGUUUAAGUUGUUCAAAUUAUAUAAUCUCAAAUAUUGUGUAAAUGGUUCGGAAUAUGAAGGGUGUGCAAGGAUGGGAAAAAAAAUUCUCCUAGUGAAAAGUCAGAUGGAUUUCCCUACUUUUUUAAAUAGAAUCCAUUAAUUUAUGAAUAUCUCACAUAAAUUUGACAGAAACGUUUCUACAGAAUUUAGUAAAUGUUGAUACUUGAUACCAUUUCUCAACUAUCUGAUUGCGUUCCAUUAGGUGACAGGCUUCUUGUCUUGGAUGGUACAAAUUGAAUGUAAGAUGGUGUAGUGGAAAUGUACUCCCAACAUACAACUGUAGGCUUCAAAAAGAUUUGUAUAGUGAUGGAGGGAUAUAGAAGUUGGAGUGAGAAUCUGUUAGCAAAAUAACAAUCAACAGAUAUUAAAAAAAAUCAAGAGUUAACUGAAUACAAAAUGUGGUGAUUUAAUCUCUUUAGCCUUUGCGGCUUUGGUUGUAUUCUGCUUUUCUUAUCAUAUCACCAGAAAACAUAUGCAUAACUCAAUCUUAAAAGACUGAUUCAAAACUGUUUUUAACUCACCCUCAUAUGAACAAAAGUUAAGAAAAGCCAAACUAAUUGUAACACUGGUGUCAAGAAAUGUUGCUAAAUAAAAUGAAAAACAUAGGCAAUUCAGGUUAAAUACUUGACAAAACAAAAGAAAUAUGUACAGUUUAAGAAGGGCACGGAUAUGAGUCGCCUACUUGAUAUUCCAACAUGAGAACCCAGGGUGAAGAACAACAUCAGUGACAAAUGCAGUGUGCUAUACAAUACCGGAAGAAAUAGAAUUGUAUAAAUGACAAUUUUACAACAUAAAUAAUCAUCAAACCCCAGCAAGCUGAAUAUUUUUAUUGUGUUUGCAAACUGAACAAUACAAUCACUCAUUACCUCAAACCAACAAAUGGAAUCAUAUACUGAUUUUACAACAGCAAAAACCAUCAGAACAUAUACCCCCCUCUAAUGGCAAAUCAAAUACUAUAACCAAUCUUUCUAAUCCUAGUAUCCCAAUCUCUACAAAACUGAUAUCGGAAAAAUAAUUCAAUCAUAGCACCCAUCACAGAGUUGACAAAAUGAAGAACAAAUCCCUGUAAUCAAAAGGAAAAUUAUUCCAUUCAGCCUUUAUGAUUCCAUCAAUGUCAUCAUUGGUAAAAAAAAAUAAACUGAAUUAAAGAAAAUAGAACAAGAAGAUUGAACAAAAUAGAUUGGUUAAAAUUAUAUGGAAAUAUUGAAUAUAUUAAAGGAUGAUUAAGUGGAAAGUUGUUCUCUAAAGCUACUGUUUAGUCAAUCCAUCCAUCUUCUAUAACCAGACAAUGAACAUGUAGACGUAGCAGUCUAUCAAAUGAUUUAAGUCGUCUUAAGCUAACUGGCUUCAAUCUUAUCUUAAGCCCCUAACGCCAAAAACCAACAACAAUUUGCAGGGGACAUGUCAAAAAAAGCUGGUGACCAUAAUGAAACAGCAUAUCAAAAACAGUAACUAGAGUUCAAACCAUCAGAUUUCAUAAAUGUCAAAAAUCUGUAAUUUAAAAUUAACAUACACAUUCCUAUUUAACAAUGAGAUUUGACCCUAUGACCACAUGCAAACUAUCCACACCCAGUUCUAGUGGCCAACACAAUACAUCUUUGAUUAAUCAGCUGAAUUAACUAUUGUAUGUGUUUAGAAGAGUUUAUUAUAACUUACUGAAUUGCCAUUACCCAGUUAAAAGUAAAAUCAUCUCCUAAACCUAUAUUUAAAAAUAAAUCACCAACAAAGCACCAAGCUUGGCAGUACCACUUCAAAACGUAAAGUCCAUUAAUUUUUGCCUAUUUUUUUCCUUCUUGGUCUCUACUAUACUCUCUAGUACGAUUGAUAUUCUCUAUUUCUUUUUUCAUUUGAGGACGUAAUUUUAAGGCCGUUGACAAUAUCAAUCAUUCGCCAAAAUAUUUUAGGUAGUAAGACUAAUACACUUUGGAUUAGGCGAGAAGCGUUUCUAUUUAAUACUUACCCUGAAUCUUAAACAAGACCUAUUUCUCACACAACCUCUUCAUAAAUCAAUACAGGAUACAGAUUAGAACAUGAUAAUCCUUUUCCCUAGCUGAGAAUAUAGAGCAUCCAAACUAGUUUAAAACCUUAACAAUAACUUGCUUCUGCAAAACCACAUAACAUCGCAGACUGUACUCAAAAGUUUAGCCAUCAAGAUCAAAUUGUGAUUCCACUAAGCAUGCAGAUAUCAUUUAUCAAUUUGUUUAUUGACCAAAACCGUAGAUUCUAGAACAUAAGCACACCCAGAUAACUCGAUUUGUUUAAGUAAAAGUUACCAAAACUUUUACUAUCUUUGCUAGUUAGUUACUACAACAAAUAGAAACUAUUCUGAAAUCUCUCCAUUAGUAUUAGUAUUAGUAUUAUGAAUACAGAAAGCAAAACCAAACAACAGAAAAGACAACACCUGUUGUGAUUAUGAGCAAGUACAGAAAUAAACACUUAAUUGUUUAACCAACAGAAAACACUUGGUUUAUCAUUCCAUAAAACAUAGAACCACACUUUUAAUUUAAGGUAUAACCUUUUAAAACUUUUAGAUGCUAACAAAUCUCACUAUAUUUUUAGAAAAAUUUAGAAGAUCUACUGCCAUAGGAACAUGCAGAAAAAACUGUAGUACAUGCAUUGUAUUCUUACUCACCUGCCUUGAAAUGGACUGUAGAAAUCUUCAAAAAUAUUGAAGAAUAAAACAGAAGCGCUAUUUUUGCCUCUAAAGAAUGACAAAGCAAAAAAACUUAAAAUUGUUCCAGGAUGUAAUGGAGUCUUGGAACACGCCGACGAAACAAUGGUUCGAGUCGGAAAGUUGGAACAUCAAACUGCCAUCCAUCAUACAUCUCAUUCCAUGCUUGCACUAUGUCAUCAAUUUUGAACCCUGUAAUGAUGAAAAUUGGUUGGUUAGUUCCCUAAAAUAUUUGAAACUUAAAAGGUAUCUGAUAAAUACACAACAGUUGAUAAUGUUUACGCAACCCGUACCUUCCAUUGCUGUUUCAUUAGAACAAUGGUUCUUUAUCAUGACACCAAUGUCAGUUGUAGAAGCUCCAGCUAGUUCAAACUUUUCAACAGCAACCUCCAAACACUCCUCCCAUGUUGGUAGUCCUAGCUUAAAUUCCACAACAGAACGCUCGUACAAUAAGGUGCCCCAUAAAAGGUAUAUCUGUAUCCUCAUAUUUGAAGCCUGCUCUUCAGCUUCUUCAGAAGAAAUGUCCCUGAAAAGACCGUGCAAACCCAUUUUCUCUAACUCUGCAUUAUAUUUAUCUAACUUAGAGAGCCCAUUCAAACGUUGUUCCUCAAUCUCCUCCCACAUCAACAUCCCUUUUUCCAUGCUGUCCUCUGCCUUGUUAUAGAGCUGCAGAACCUCCUCAAAAGGACCAACUUCGAUAUUCUUAUUGUUUGCAAUUAAAUAACACCAGCAUAGCUUUGCUUGCUCAAACUGCUGAUACCCAAGAGCAAGGAGUCCCUCGUAGAAGUCUGGUUUGAUUUUCACAGAUUCUUCGUAUCUCAUUUCUGCUUCCUUGUACUCCUUCGUAGCCCAUUCAUAUCCAGCUUUAAGAUGCUCGAGAGACGCUUCUCUCGUCCCGUCUUCCUGAAAAGGCACUCGCCUCCUCGCCUUAGACAAGUGAACAUUCCCCCAAUUAAACAAAGCCAAAGCAGCCAUCUCUUGAAACUUAUCCGCAGCAAUAUCAAACAGCUCUUGAGCACCAUCAUUUGUCACCGAAUCCUCCAUCGCCUCCGAAUAUAUCUUCAUCCCAACCUCAUGAAUAUCCAGAUACGAAUCAGAAUCAAACCCAACAUGGUUCUUAAACAGCCUCGCAAACUGAACAAGCCAUUCCUCCACAGUAAUCAUCCUAUUACCCCCAACACCCUUAUCUCCUUCUCCAACCCCAUUCUCCUCUCUCACCUCACCACUACUCGUCUUUUCAUCAUAGCACGGCUCCAUAUCCAAAUCCACCUGCGUAAUAUACAACCGAAUCGAACCAAGCACAUGACAACCCUCAGCUAACCUCAACUCAGCAGUAGUAGUAAUAGUAACCAAAUCACCUUCCCUAUCCUUAUACUUCACAAGAACACCCUUUAACCCCGGAAACCUAUCCCUUAUCACAUCUCUCACCAACUUCAUACUACAAUUCACCGGCAACUGCGCCCACCUAAUAUCCUCUCCAUAUAUCAACUUCACAGUCCUAGUAACCCCUUUAUCUUCCUUAACAACUUCUUUACUAUCCUUAUCCUUAUCCAUAACCUUAUCCUUCGAAUCUUGACCCUUCACCUUAACAUUAACGUUAACAUUUCCAACAUUGGCAGCUUUCUUCUCAACGACACUCUUACUUUUCCUCUCUUCCUCGCCUUCCCCUUUAUGCCCUUUCUUCUUCUUAUUAAUCUUCUCCCUAACAACUUUCCUAAACCGUGCAGCAGGCGGCUCUAUUUGCUGAAUAGCAGCCAGAGCAAUCUCAGUCUCAUCAAUAGCGAUCCCUUUCUCCUCCAUAGUAAUCCUCAAACUAUCAAGAAUCUCCAACGCGGUUGAAUUAUUCGGCUCAGCAUUCAAAACAACUCUAACAUCUCUCAUAGCCAAAUCCAAUCGAUUCAACGCCUCGUAACACUUAGCUCUUCUAAGAAGAGCUUUACUAUACCUCGGCGAAACUUGCAGAGCAAGAUUGCACUCGUUAAUAGCUCGAGGAUAUUCGCCGAGACCCAAUUGCAUAUAACACAUGGCCAUGUUGGUGUGAAGAUGUGCAACAUCUAUGUGGUUUUUGGGUAAGAGUUUGAGAGCUUUUUCGUACUUUAACAUAGCUCCUUCGUUGUCUUUUUUUUGGAAGAAAAGUUUGUUACCUUCUUCUCUUAAUUCUUGUGACAUGUUGAUGAACAUGGCUGUGUCAUCGUCGAAUGAUGUUGAACGUUCGUAACCUUUGUUCUUGUUGUUUGAUUUUGGUGAUUCAUGUUCCUUCUUUUUUCCAGCUGGUUUCCCCAUCGAUCUAUGAAUCAAUAAUCAAUUUUUCAGCUGAAUCAAAUAAUUUCAAUAAUAGUAAUAAUCAGAGAGAUUUGCUUGAAAUUGAAGAUUUUUUUUUAUCAAAUGAAAAAAAAAAAAACAAUCUUUAGGACCAAAUUGAAUGAAGUUGUAAUGAUUCGUUGUGUGGCUGUUGUGUGUAGGUUAGGGUUUGUUUGUGUUCUUUUCUUUUAUGUGAAGUCAACGUAGAUGGAUUGGAGGGUGUAAAAGGAAGAAUGGAGUGGCCUAAAAUAAAAGGGUGGGUGCUUUUGUUCUUUAGGAAAAUUGGGGGGAAAGGACUAAACGACACACAAAAAUGGGAAAACGCUGUGAUUGUGUCCCACUUUGGCUUUUGGAGGGUAUAUAUAUUCCUUCAUUGCUGAAUGUUAUUGUUGUAAAAAAUAAAAAAAUAUAUCCAAUUCAAGGGUUGAUUAAUAUGAAAAUUUAUCUCACUGUUGAAUAGCACGGCUUCAAUUAAAGUCAACUUAAACUUCUAUAUAAACUAACACACAUAAAUUGAUAUUAAGAGAAUUUGAAUUUGUUAUUUUGGUUUGUUCAAAAAAGAAAAAAUUGAAUAUGAGAUUUAAGAUGAGCAUAAUCUAAGAUUUCAAACCUUGAUGAUCUGGUGAAUGUUAAUUGUGUAUCAUGCUUUGAUUGAUGUUUGAACACGUGGACUUUUUCCUCUUUGAUUGUUUUUUUUUUUUUUACAUUUAACAUUUUCAUAUUCACAUUCAUAGCGAGACAAAUAAGAAUUGGUCUUGUCUUUUACGCGGCGGCUGUACUGUUGGGUCUGGGAAUAUUCCUUUAUUUCAGUUAUUACAAAAAUUUGGCAUGAUUGGUUACUGUAAUACUUUUUCAUUUUUUAUGCUACGUAGCAUAUAAUUAUUCCUUUGUUUUACUAUAUGUAUGUAUGCCCUCUACCCCUACAAGAUGGAAUUCCUUUUCCGUUAAGGAUUAUACAGUUUUUUUUUUUUUUUUUGUUUCAGAUAAAUUCUAGCCAUGGGAGAUAAUCUAAUUUGAGGUGUCAAACAUUAAAUGAGUGUAGUUAUCCUUCAAACAUUAGUUCGCCCACGUAGUGUAGCCAUACCCAUAGGUAAUGAGUAAAACCAUACAUUGCAAAUACAAAACAAACGUGGGAAUUGAUGGAUACAAAAAUACUACAGAUAAAAUAUUUUGAAGAAAAUAAAUACUACUAUUGGUUAUAAAGCUGGAAAGUGUCACUAUUUACAUGGCAAAGUAGUUACAACUGUCAGACAUGUCAACCCUCAAAGCCGACCACCUCAGUGGCAGAAUUAUUUUACAAGUUAGAACAACACAUGUUUGCUAUUUAUAAGCUGUCAACAAUGAUUAUUUUUGUGCCCACCUUUUCUUUUUCAACAGUAAAGUAGGUAAAAACUAAGGUGUAUUCCUCAAAAAACAGAAAACUCAGGUGAUAUUAAGAAGUGAUGUGUUGGCUUCAUAGAAAUAAGUUUUACUGAAACCUUCAGACAAUUAUCACCAGCCUCCUUCUUCCUUUAUCUUGUUCUUUUCUCCCUUCCAAACAAAAGCUCAUAUUAACUGUAUCAUUUCUGGUAUAUAAUGGAUGUGAAAGUAAUUUUAAUUGUCAGGAAAAGAAGCGUGAAGAUGAGAUGUUUUCUCUACAGUUCCAGCAGCAAGACAGCAAACCAAGCAUUCCUGUCUCCACAGGAUGUCCAAUGUCCCUUUCUCGCUUGUGUAGCACUCUGACAAACUCAUCUGUACUUAGGUUUCCGUCUCGAUUUGUAUCAAACAAAUGAAAAACAAUCUCAACCACGUUGUCCGAGAGAGAUAUGCCGCAAACCUGAAAUUGAAACGAAUAAAAUAUGAACUUACUAUCUCGGCCAUAUAAUCUAAAUCAAAUUUUUUUUUAAAAAAAAUGAAGGAUAUAUAAUUGGGGGAUAAAACAGUUAACCCCUAAACAUCACUAUUAAGUUAAGCAUAAAAACAAUGGUAAACUCCUGACCAAAAACAAAAAAAAACAAUGGUAAACUUCAUACAUGUGACGCUGCUCGCUGAAAAUCAUCUCUCGUCAACAGGCCAUUUACUUUUCCAAAACUGAAAAGGGCUAAUGAUAAUGGAAGUAACUUUUUCCGUAGCUCUGCGAAGUUUUUGAAAUCCUCAAAUCUGAUGCGGACAUCCUUAAAGCAUGGCUCAUUAUUCAGUUCAUCAACCCGUUCAAGCAACUUGCCUAGAUGACUCAUGUCGGCGGAAGCAACCAUGGAGAGUGCAAAGUCCUUGGCUGAAAUUGCUUUUCGAGAUUUGUAGUCAUAAUGAUCAAACUCCAGUCUGAGAAUCUACAUAAAUAUCGUACAUUGUCAUGGAAAAUCACUUCUGUGACCAUUGUAAAAAUUAAUAUUUAUAGCAAAUCAAAAGGAAUCUUAUAUCCAUAUGAAGUUUAUAGUAUGAAUAUUCACACAAGAGAAAUACUAGCAGAAUACUCUUCGUCACACAUUCUUUAAAAAAUUAUUCAUUUUCUAAAAAUACAAUUUAAUUUCCUCGUUAAUAGAUCAACUUCUAAUUAGUAUGGCGACUUUUUUAAAUCUUAAAGAAUGUACCAUAUUAAAAUAUAUUUGGGAGUCUUGCUACACUAGUUUAUGUAGAAGCAUAUGCUUCAAGUAUCUUGUUAAAUUGAAACCAUGUGUAAUGGCAUCAUGCAGACUUCUAAGCAUUUUCACUUCCCUUUUCCUUGUCUUUCCUUUUCUACAAGAUCAAUGUAAAUAUAAAAGAUAUCAUGUCAAGCCUACACAUGCAACUACCAUAACUGACAAGCGUGGUUCCAGAUAAUUGCAAACAAUAAGAGUUCUUAUAACAAUCACUGAUUAUAUACAGAAGCACAUACGAGUUUUCUCAGUUUUAAUGCUACUAUCACAGGUAACAACUGCCACAAUGUUGAUAAUAAUAUUAUAAAACAUAAAAGAAUUCAAGGAUUUUCAAUGAACAAUUAUUAAAAUUGCUGUCCCCUGCAGCGUGUGAAGCCCAAUUUUUACAGAAUUAAACCUUAACAUAGAUAUACAUAGUAAAACUUCAUUGCUUGAUUUAAGUUUGGUACAGAAAAAAUACUUAGAUAUGACUUCAUCAUUUUUUUAGCCCAUAACACCAGAAUAAUUUGAUUUUAUCAUACCCCAUAUCUCUUUUUUAUUCCUUCUUUGGAUAAAAGAAAGAGAAGAGCUUACAGUGCAUUUGGAAGAUAAAGAAUCCUCCCUAACAUAAGAGCAAAACACCAGAGGGUAGAAGCUUGUGUAGAGCCAAAGCCUAGUCC